UCUCUCUCUAGUUCGUCAUCUUCCAUGACGAAUCAGGAGAGGCCAAUCAAAGUUAGAUCUCGCAAGGAAAAAGCCAAGGACUGUCUCGUGGGGGACAAGCUUGUGAUGAUGGUUACUAGAGAGAUGGGAUGCCCAUUGACCGAGAGCACGGCAUAAUUGCCCUCUCUUCAUGAAGAGAUAUAUUGACCAUUUUCGGCUAUCCUUUUUUACUAACUAUUACAUUGGAUUUUCUAAGACUAUCUUUGUUUAUUUUGAUUAGUUAAAUCCUUACAAAAGUCUACUGUUAUCUAAACAUGAAUUGUUAAAUCUCUACCAACAUUCAUAUAAUUAAAUAGAAAAAAAUGCGAAUAGAAACUUUUAUGGCCGUAUCAAAUACAUUUAUAUUAUUUUUCUAUUUUGAGAAUAAAAAUCUUGUACAGUUACUUAACAUAUUUUUCUGCUCAAAAACUAGUCCAAAGAAUAUAUCUUAAUAGAAAUUGUUCCUAAAAACAAAAAUAUUACCAUAUGCACUCUAACUAUUGGUCACAUUUUCGGUUUACAAAUGUAACGCACAUAGAUUGUGAGGGGUAGUGUGUAUUUUCACGUCUUUCCUUUUUAUUUUUCAAAAUAAAUGUCGCCUCUGCCUUCGACUUCAAGGGAAAAAAAAAUUAAGAAAAUGGAGUGCAUUAAAUUAACUAAUAUAUCGCAAAAAUUGAUUCCCAAUGUACGCGAGGGGUCGUAGUCGUAGGGUCCCUGUCAAAGUCCCACUUGCGAGGGGCCUUAGAAUCCCUGUCAAAAUUCCGCACGUGGCGCGUUGAGAGGGGCUGGGUGACGUCCCCGUGAAAGUCGGGAUUAUGAGGAAAUUGCUACUUUGUGGAAAUGGAGGUGGAAAUGGAGGGAUCACAGUGUUGUGCGGUGAGGAUGCAUCUGACGUUUUGUGAUCGGCGAAUCGGACGGAUCAAGAUUAGGGGAACAGGAGCGGCUUCCUUGAACGGCAGGCCAAAGGCUCGUUUGGACAUCCGGGCACAACUUUUUACGCGCAAAAGAGAGAGAGAGAGAGAUUUUCAAUCUAAAUAUGUUGGUUAUUACACUUGCUCAUUCGACUGCCUCGCGUUAUUUCAUUGAAGCUUCCAUUUUAUCGUAGCGGUUCACAAAUGCAAUGCCCUUGACUUGUGAGGGGUGGUGUGUAUUUUCAUGUCUUUCCCUCUCUCUCUUUUUUUUCGAAAUAAAUCUUGCCUUUGCCUUUGACUUCAAGGGAGGAAAACAAAAUAAAGAAAAGGGGUACAAUAUAUUAACUAAUGUAUUGCAAGAAGUGAUUCUCAUUGGUAGCAUAAUAAGUAAAGUUUGUUAGGAAUUCGCCGAAGUAGUUAUAGAACUAAUCAAAUAAUUUAGAGAAAAGAAACGUAAUCAAGUAGAGAAGGAAAAAAAAAAAGGCUUCGCUAGCUAAUAAAAAGUAAAAGGUCAGGUAACAAACGAAAAAAAACAUUUUUAUUAAUUGUGGGAAAAAGAACAAGAAAAAGGAAAGUAAGAGGGAAGGCUCCGUAUAAGAACAGGGGAGGUGACAUCUCCCGCAUAACCAUUACCAAAAGCCCAUGACACGAGAACAGAGUAAUCCGCUCUCCAACCUUAGAGACACGAUCAAUUUGCCAUUUACCAAAAAAAUAGUUUGAUGAAUUGCAGGCCAAUUGAUGCGUUACACAGCUACUAAAUAAUUAGGUGAUGACAUGAAUAUGUAUAUAAUUGAUGGCAAGCUUCGCUCUUCGGAUCUUGUCCGACCUGACGAAUAUGUGAAGAGGAACAUCCUGCGUUUUGAUGUAAAAACUCGUUACCGCCAACAAAACGCAGUAACUCUGUCACCAGUUUCGUUUUCGUUUUGAUGGCGACAGAUUCUGAGAUCAAGACCUGCUCUAGAGAGAGAGAGAGAGAGAGGAUCCGAAGAAAAGGAGUAGGUGGCAAGCAUUCCACCACCCCUGCCUGGGGCCGAUAUUAAAAAGAAGAAGAAGAAUUUACUAUAUAUAAUUAAAACUGAAUUAAGAAUAUUGGAUUUUCUUGAUAGGGAGUUACUUUUUUUUGUUUUGUUCGAAUAUAGGGAGUUACUUAGCUGGGGCGUUUUCCAAAGAACGGGAAUAAUAUUCAACAAAUGGAAAUUAGUUUUUUCUCGAGUAGCGAACCUAAUGGUUCUUUUCUAUUUAGGAAAAAAGGGGAAUAUUCAGUCAUUUCCCCCAUCUCGUUUUUUUUUUUUUUUUUUUUUUUCUAUUUUUCUACAUUGCGUAUUCCUAAUAAUAGCAAAAAAAGAAAAACCUUUUAAAGGAAGCAGCGUCGAGAAAAUGUAAUGGGAAAUUACUGUUGCAGCUUACUAAAUAAAAUGAUAAAUUGAUUUUUUUUUUUUUUUUUGUCCCAAGCAUGACAGGUGGCUAGCUUUGUCCAGGUCAAGGAAACUGCAGCUUUACCUUUGCCUUUGUGUUCUAACCACGAGGGCGAGAACGAAAAAGGGCAAUUAAUAGGAAGAAAGAAACGGCCUCGUCAGAGUCACCUGCCUGUGACGCGAGAUUCGCUGACAAGCGAAAUUACUCCUAUGAAAUUAUAAGAAGAAUUACUUAAAAGGCUGACCAAAGUUUUCCAUUAAUCAUUUUAUGAGCCUCAAGAUGCGAGUAUCCAUAAGACUCCCGUCAACUAUUCUGAAAGGUCUGGUUGCUAGGAUGAAGCCGCGAGUCCAUUAUUACCAAUCGACGGCACGUCGAUACCACUCUUUUUAUUACUCGAGAGCUAUUUUUUUCACAAAAAAUAAAUGAUCAUCGCUUGUAUUAUUCAUAAAAAUCAAUUAACAGAAAAUAUUAAUUUUUUGUUGAGAGUGAAAACAUUUUUGUCAAACAGAUCAUUUUUAAGAAAAUGUAUUUUUUUUUUCGAAAAGGUAAAAGAGGAGAGAGAGAGUAAGAGAGGAUGAUAACGCAUGAUUAACAUCAAGAGUGAAUGUGGGUGGUUUGACCAAGAAAGCAGUGAACCUGGGUUGAAGCAUCCAGAAUUUUUCUAGAGAGAGAGAGAGAGAGGGGGGGGGGGGGGGGGGGGGGGGGGGGGGAAAAAAAAACCCCCCCUUAAAAAUUGAACCCCGGGGGGGGGGGGGGGGCUUAAAUUUUGGAAAGGGGGGGGGGCCUUUGUAAACAAAUGUUAUAAAAUUUUUGUUUUCCAAGGGGGGCNNNNNNNNNNNNNNNNNNNNNNNNNNNNNNNNNNNNNNNNNNNNNNNNNNNNNNNNNNNNNNNNNNNNNNNNNNNNNNNNNNNNNNNNNNNNNNNNNNNNAUAAGCAAGAAGCAAAGAGAGCUCUUGAUUGCAGUCUAUUUGAUGAUCCAUGAAUAAAAAAAGGAAGAGGAAAAAAAAAAUUAAAAAAAAAUGGGGAGGUGGGAAGGAGACAGAAAAACUUUGAACUUUUUUUUCAAGAGCUCCCCAUUUUUGCUUUCAAUGGGGAGCUCUUGAAAGCAAAAGUUCAAAGUUUUUCUGUCUCCUUCCCACCUCCCCAUUUUUUUUUAAUUUUUUUUUUCCUCUUCCUUUUUUUAUUUCAUGGAUCAUCAAAUAGACUGCAAUCAAGAGCUCUCUUUGCUUCUUGCUUAUUGCUUCUUCCUCCCAAGCUCCCUGUUUUCCUCAUCCCUUCUCGUUUUCGGUCGUAAAGAAAUUGAAAAAAAGAGGGAGUGAUGUCUCUGUUGGAUUGGUUCUAUGAAGCUCUGGCGUCUCUGGGUCUGCGCCAGAAGGAAGCCAAGAUAUUGUUCUUGGGGCUGGACAAUGCAGGGAAGACCACCCUGCUUUGCAUGCUGAAGCACGAGGUACUUUCGUUUGAAUUCGUAAAGACUCCCUUCGAUGGAAAUACGCAGUUCUGAAGUUGCUUUUUUCUCUUUUCGUGAUCGAGAGUCUCUUUUCCCAAUGUGUUCUUGUUUUCGUCAUUGAUUCCUUGCAUUUCUCGGGGCCUCCUCUCUUCAUUUCGCCUGGUGAGUGAGUUGAUUGCACGAUUCUUGCGCUUGCUGUGUAUGGGCUUCUCUUAUAAUUCUUAGUCUGCAAUGCAUAGAUAUAUGUAGUGCGUUCGUAGUACUAUACGUGCUUGUCGAAUGUAAGCUGAACGAUUCUGAUAUGGUUCUGUGAUGGGCAGAGAUUGGCUCUGCACCAACCCACCCUGUUCCCGACUUCAGAGGAAUUGAGUAUAGGGAAGAUAAAGUUCAGAGCCUUCGACUUGGGUGGUCGGCUGAUCGCUCGCACAGCCUGGCCGGACUACUACGCUAAGGUAAAGCUCUGCUCUUUUUCUUUUUUUUCUUCCCUCUCCUCUCAAAGCUCCCGUUUUUGGAUAACCCUGUAAUUGCGUGGCCUUGGGUUGAUUCAUUCACGGAUUCUGUGAUAGUUUCUAAAUGCUAUGCAAAAAUGAUGCAUGCGGGUGGAUCAUCCUCCUGAGAGUAGUCGGAUGCUUUUUGUCUCUGAGUUUGGAAACGGGAAAACUUUUUCUUCAACCGGAAAACUAAUACCAGCGAAGAGAGUUCUUUGCUGGGUUGAAAGGUGGUCAUCUGCGCCCACCACGAAUGAUGAUGGAUGCAGCAGAUAGAAUGCUUGAACUUUCAAGGAUCUCAACAAGCGUUGAUGGGGUCAAGUAUGUUGCCAUCAUGAAUCUAUACUUAAAAUGUAACUGUGCGCGGGAAAAAGCUGAAAAAGGAGUGAUCUGUCGACUACAUUACUGUGAAGAUGACAGUUUUACAUUAUCUGCUGAGGAGGAGAGGGGAAGGCUCUCUGUUUAGUAAGGAUGGAUAGUCGAUAGCAGUUCUAACUCGAGAAGGUACCUAUAAAGGCAAAGGGCUUUCCUUCAUAUCGAUGGCAUUCGCCCCUACAUCCAUGUUGCUGAGCUCCCUCCUGUCCCAUCAUUUCGUUUAGGUUGGAGGCGAUGCGCGAGUUGAUGACUUUCUAGUCCUUUUGUCAUCUAGUUUACGAAUUUAACUCGGACAGCUCUUCGGCACACAUUUUCAAACGAGAUUUAUAUUGAACGAUUGAUCUUCCGCACUUUCUUCUCUAGGUGGAUGCAGUGGUAUAUCUGGUGGACGCCUGCGACAAGGAGAGGUUUGCGGAAUCAAAGAGGGAGCUCAAUGCCCUGCUUUCAGAUGAAGCUCUUGCUAAGGUGCCUUUCCUCGUGCUCGGGAACAAGAUCGAUAUCCCGCAUGCGGCUUCGGAGGACGAGCUGCGAUAUCAUCUCGGGCUCACCGACUUCACGACUGGCAAAGGAAAAGUGAAUCUUGCGAAUCAGGCUGUUAGGCCCCUGGAGGUGUUCAUGUGCAGCGUCGUGCGCAAGAUGGGCUACGGUGAAGGGUUCGAGUGGAUGUCGCAUUACAUCAAGUAUUGAUGCGGUACCUCUUUCUUCUCUCGGAAAGGUUUGCUUUCAAUUUAUAAAGGAAGAAUAAGCUCAUAAGAGUUCAUGAUUUCUGGAUUGACGUGUUUUUUUUAAAUGAGGACGAUACACCAUCGUUCGCUUUUGUUCCGCAUGUAUUGAAACUCAGUCAUUGCUCCCCAGAUGAAGUACUCUGCCUGGACUCUAAGUUUGUAAUAAUACAGCUGGCAUUUCUGAGGGUCGAAAGCUCUCGACCUAACUAUUGCUCAUUAAGCAUGAACUAUGCAAAUCUUUCUCUGUUGAUUUCCGUUUUUAGGGUGGAUAUGUCUCGACCGAGCAUUCUGGUACUUCUUAUGAACUUCUUGUGUCGUCCCAUCGAUUUUCUGAAAGUAAAUUUAGCAGCUUGCAAAUAUAGUUCAGAUGUUGGAGGCAAAAAGAGAUACUGGCCUUUUGUACGUUACUCAACACGGAUUGAUCACCGCAUGAUUGGUAAUUGUACAUCAGCAUAUCCAUUUUGCCCAUCCAAUUUAUCAGCAACGACCAAAGAGAAUCUGCAAGGAAAGUCUUGUGACAUAGAGGCCGCCUUUGGAAGGAAAGCACUAGUCUUUCCAUGAGAAAUAGCCAGCAUGAUGAGAUUUCAUGAUGCGCGGGAGUAUAUUGUUCUUGGAAGAUUUUUUGAGCUCAAUACUCGAUCAGGGCUAGACCAUGUGGCUCUUUAGUCGCAACGUCUGGUGGUAGCUUCUAGGUAAGGGUGAGCAUGCCGGAAUGCCCAAGCGAGGAACCGCCCGGACCAGACCGGACCGGCUAGUUUGGUCCGGUUCCUAGAGGGAUGGGUCCAGUUUAUGGAACCGGUGAUUGUCGGUCCGGUCCUCAGUUUCGGGAGAGAACCAAACCGGGCUGGACAAACCAUUUUCUUAUUAAAUAUAUAUUUUUAAUUUCAUUAAUAUAGCAAUAAAACUUAAAAAUAGUAACAAUUCUUGUAUUUUUCUUUAUUUUUUAUAUUUUUUUGCUAAGCAAUUGGUUCCUAGUCAUAGGUCGGUCUGGUCUGGUUCCCGGUCCCCAAAAUUGGGAACUGAUCCUCCUGGUAUGGCUCCCGGUUCUUAGGUAGAAUUAGACCGGAUCGGGAACCAAUCACCCCUACUUCUAGGGAUCGAAGAGAAUCGCAGGGCAAGAGUUCCCCCAAGAAGCGAUUAGACCUUAAGGUUGCUGUGCUUGUUCGCCAUGAUCGGUAAUGGUCGUGAUGGAGGUGAAAUCGAGAGAGGUACCCGAGUUCUUGAAAAUGAGUAGCGAUGGAGCUGAAAUCGGUACUAUCUUCGUUGGCAUAUUCGGCCUGCCAAAACCCAGUACAGUAUCGAGACCUCCGGAAUUCCUAAACAAAAUACUCAGCCUUCUGCGGAGGCGACACCCGGUUGGCUUGUCCCUCCAACGGCAAUUUCAACUGGGAUAGUCUUACAGGGAAGUGUACAAGUGAGGUCGUCAUGCAUUAAGUUUAGAUUUAGCGAUUGGAUGAAAAUUUUGUGCUCGGUCCAGAAUGAACGACAGAGUUUCGCUCCGCCUUGCCAUCACCAUCCUUUUGACGUCCGCGAAGGUUGCGAGGCCGAAGGAGGUGCAGGGAGUGAAGCUAUAUCUGCGCAUGGAAGUUUCUCAUUCAUGAUACUCACAUUCCCGUCGUCGCCUAAUGAUUAUGUAAUUAUGAUGCAUCAAUUGCUUACAAUUCAUCAACUAUUUUCUCGUAAAUGGCAAGUUGAUCAUGUCUCCAAGGUUGGAAAAUGAAUUAGUGUGUUCUUCUAUCGUGGGCUUUUCAUCGAGGAAAGUGACAUAAAUAGUUCUUAAAUUUUAGUUUAAUGCAUAAUGCGAUCCUUGAAUUUUAACACAAUAUGCAAUGUCAUCCCUGAACUUUCAAUUUAUCUAAUGUGAUCCCCAAACUUUUGAUACAUAUUCAAUCAGAUCCCUAAAUUAUAUGAAGAUGUCCAAUAUUAUUCCAAAACUUGAAUUAAUGGAAGGAUAACAACUUGAACAUGUUCAAACAAUCUAAGGACCAUAGUGAAUAAAUUAAAAGUUCAAUGACCACUUUGCACAUCAAAUCAAGGUUCGGGAAUUUUAUUGAACAAAUUAGAAGUUUAUGGACAUUAGACAAUGAGUCGAAGUUCAUAAUUAUUUGUGUCAUUAUCCAUUUUCUUAAUGAUUAUGCAAGAUGAGUCAGCUCCCCUAUCCUAACAUGCAAUAUGGAGACUUUCAUUUCCUUUUCUUUUGGCCAUCUAAACCACUUCAUUUGUCAAAGGAACUUGUUAGCUAAAACGUAAUUAAGAUCGAAAAAGAAAUUCAGGAGAAAUUAGCCUUAGCUAUUGCAAACCUUUGCCUUCAAACUUUUAACCAAUAGAUAAUGCCCUUCUCCACUUUCAGUUUGUUAUAAAUCGUUAAUUUGUGACACGACGUGACACAAUACGACAUGACACAUCGACACUUUAUUUCUCAAAAGAUAGAAAAUUUCAAUACGUUGGAACGCAUUGUGUAUUAAAUGUAUCUUUAUAUAUAUAAGACAAAUUAUCUUUUUUAUGAUUAUUUCAAUUAAAUUAAUUUGAUUCAAAUUUACAAAUAAAUAAAUAAAGAGUCUACAAUAAAUUAAUAUACUAAAAAUAUUAAUUUACCAUUUGUUAAUAUCAUUCAUUAUUUUAAUUUGAUAAAUUCAUUUCUAUUCCAAUAAUCCAUAAAAUUUGAAGGAAAAAAAACAUGCAAUUCACAUUCUAGAUUAGUGUAUUAAAGCGUGUUGUGAGAUAAGAGAAAAAAAACUUGAGAAGUGAAUUGUGUAUUACAAGAAGUAAGAGUCGGAAGAGAAAAUUGGGUUUUUCCCCCCUUUAUUUUUAUUUUUAUAUUUUUAACAUAUUUUUACUUUUUGCCCUUCAUUUAUUGAAAUUUUUUAAAAUUGACCCUAUAUGUGUGGGAAUCACGUGUUGAAAUUUUGAACUCGAGUGUCAGAAUUUCGGACAUGAAUGCCGGAGAGUGUUGGGAGAGUUAACCAAGUGUUGGAUUUUAUUCAAAUUUAUUAAUUGUUUAAUUUGUGAUUUAGGAAAGUAAUUGUAGUCAGUAUAAUAUACUAUUAUGUUUUAAUUGUAGUCAGUGUACCAAUUGCAUUCUAAAAUCUUGCAUCAACUUUGCUUCAAGAAUUGCUUGCAAAAAUAUAUGAAAUAUAUAGAAAACAUCUAGCUUUAAUUGAUAAACUUUUAUAGAAUAUUAAAAUAUUGUAUUUUCAAAUAUUAAAGAAAUAGUCUUAUUUUUAUAGUCUUUCCGCGCAAAGCGGAAGUUGCAAUUUAGGCUUAUUACACUAAUUUAAAAACGUCGUAUUAUGAGAAAUUUUUAAAAAGCUAUUAUGCAAUUGUUUCACCAAAUAUGAUGAAAUAUCCUUCAAGUAUAAAUGGAUGAAUCAACACAGGUUGCGAAAGGUUUUUUUUUUUUUUUGGUUUUGGAUAGAAAAAUAAUGAUAAGAAAACUAAAAGUACGUAGGCUAGAGACAAUCAUAUUUAGUCAUGUAAAUUACACAAAAAUGAAAAUAAAGAUAAAGAUAAAUUUACAAAAAAAUGUUAAAUUCUAUGAUUGAUUGGUAGCUGCUUACCAUGAAUACACUUGGGGUAACCGACGAUUACAUCGAACGAUUAGUAAAUUUGAAUAAAAAAAUUAUUUCCUGAUCUACAUACACAAGAAGUUACACGAUCUCCUAUAAUUUAACAAUACUUAUUCACGGAAGUUUAAAAAAAAAAAUCCUAAAUUAGUGGCAAUAGAUUUAACUACAACAAUUAUAUUUUCAUGUCGAUUACUUAUUGUCAAUGACUGUCAAUUAACGUCCCAACUCUUCAUGAAGGCUCUCAACCAUAACUUUCACAGUGUUGUCAAUUACUUUAGCAAGUUGUCAAUUCCCUUUGAGUUGUUGAUUGUUUUAUUCAUUGUUGACUAAACUCUACUCUCAUUGACUAAGUUUGAUACUUGUCAAUAGUAACCCAAAACUGGUCAUUUUUUGGUGUCAACAUAUGUCCCUUUAAAAAAGAAGAUCCAAUUCAAUUAAACUGGAUAAUCAAAAGCCAUCAUAUGGCUUCUUGUCAUCGGCAAAUUUGACUGAAUUGCCUCUUGAAUUGUUUUCUUGAAAAUAACAUAAAUAACUAUGUCAUGGUAGAAAUACUCAGCUCCUAUGCCCAGGCUCAUGUCCGUCAAAUUCAGGCCAGGCUCAGGACUCCAAUGCAUGUGCCUCAAUCCUCUCCAGCCAUCUCUAGGUACCUGACACCUAUGCUCACUUCAUCAUCAAGGUUGGCCUAGGUCCCCAAUGCCCAUGCUUGGGUACUCAAGGGCCAAGCCCAAUAAAUUAGGCUUCUACAACCGGGACCCCAGCUAUCGAACAUUCCUUAUACCACACGAAUAAUGUAUGUCUCUUAGAAAAAAAAAAUUCGACAAUGUUAAAUUCUCUGCAAAAUGAACAAUCCGAUCUUUGAAACAAAUGGUUGCCCCCAAACGACUCCAACGGAUUAAUGUAAACUACGAACUUUCUUGGCAUGACUUCGAAUAUAAGUAGAAGCCCCUCUCCAUUAGCCUUUCUGCGACCCAAACUUUUUGUUUGGAGCCCAAAGAUCUCACUGAGGAUCCUACUGGACCGCACCAAAGCCCAGCCGAGUCUAGCCGAGCACCACUGCCAACCGAGGAGGUGGCAGAAGAUAGAGAGGCCUGUGUAAACUCAGCUCCACAGCCGACUCCUGAUUCUUGUCUUGUUCUUGCUUUUGCUUAACCAGAGUUUCUCAAUCUCUUAAAGCCUGCACAGGGAAUGCGUCUAGAGCUUCCGAAGCACUCGUGCGCAUGCUGAGUGAAAUAGCCAAGUCUGUGAAAAUAGCUAAGGGUUUCUAGCUCUGCAAGUAAAAUUCAUAGACACAAAGCAAAUUGCCUUUGCUCCAUGAGAAGAUCACAAGAACUUCUUGAGCAAAAAGAGAUAUGUCCCACCAAAAUAGAGCGAGCCUACUAUCAAAAGCUAAAUGAAAUGUAAUAUAUAUGUAUCUAUACACGCCAGUUUCAGCUUCUUACAUCGAAAUACACACCCCAGGAAAAGAGAUACUCAUUUGAUGUACUGGGAGAGCCACCUGAAGCCCUCGCCGUAGCCCAUCUUGCGCACAAUGCUGCACAUGAAGACCUCGAGAGGGCGGACGUUGGUGCCGGCGAGGCUGACGUCGCCCUUCCCGGUGGUGAAGUUGGCGAGGCCCAAGUAGUACCGCAGUUCGUCCUCUGACACGGCGGAAGGGUAAUCGAUCUUGUUUCCCAAGACGAGGAACGGGACAUUCGCCAGCAACUCGUCCAUGAGGAGCGCAUCCAGCUCCUUCUUUGACUCGGCAAAUCUAUCCUUGUCGUAAGCGUCGACUAGGUACACUACCGCAUCGACCUAUAUAAAAGUUCCAAAGCAUUCAUCAUCUUCGACAGAGUGAUUGCUUCACAUGCUCCCAUACAUGUGCAAAAACAAUAUGAAACAACAAUCAUAUGACAUGAUCGUUUGAAGUUUUCCAAUUUCAAGUAUGAACGAGUGCCAACCAAUACAUGAAGGAAAUUUUUUCAGCAAAACUUGGUUCCCCUAUCGCGGCACCCCGUCAUCAUAGUAUAUCCCAGAAAAAAGGAAAUUUUCUCAGCAAGGAAAGACCAGUACCGAAUAAUACACUGGCCAACACUUCCAGUUGAUUAGAUUAAAUAGUAACAUCUGCUUAUAAACACCGCAAGUCAGCCACACCGGCUAUAUACAGUAUCUUGAAAAUGGAUUAGCAAAGGACACAAUAUUAUCUGAAGAGAACUAAAAGGGGGAGAAAACAAAAUCAACAGUGUGCAAGAAAACCAUAGUACCGACCACCAGAUAACAUGAAAACAUGUCACUUGCCGACCCAGACUACUGAAAGUGAAAAAUCAGUCCCCGUAAAUCCAAUUUUUUUUUUUUUUGGGCCAAUAUAAAGCCUCUGUUUAGAAGCAACGUAAGUACAACUGGACGAUGGCCAAGUUGCGGCGAUUGCAUAAGCAUUCCCUCACUUCAAUCCAACAAGGUCAAACCUGAUCUCAAAGUAAACUAAAGGUUCAAUUUCAGGGUUACCUGUUGAAAACUUAAUGCAGUAAAUAAAAUCAGUGAACUGAAAGUUAAGAGCCACGCAUCUGACUAUGUCAACUCAAAAGUCAAGAAACACAUCCACAGACAAGAAUGAAGCAUUCGAAGUGAUAAGUUUAACAUGAUUAAUCAAAAGCAUCAGAAUACUCAGUAGGAUGAUCUGCCCCACAUGCAUCAUGUUGCAUAAAAUUCAAAAACUGUUACAGAAUUCAUGAAUGAAUCGGCCAUAUGGUACCGAUUAAAGAGAUAGUCCCGAAUCAGGAGCUUUCAUAGGAGAGAAGAGGAGAGAAGAACUUUACCUUAGCGUAGUAGUCCCGCCAGACCCUACGAGCGAUCCGGUGACCACCCAAGUCGAAAGCUUUGAACUUUAUCUUCCCUAUACUCAGUUCCUCUGAAGUCGGGAACUGGGUGGGUGGGUGCUGAACCAAUCUCUGCCAAUGACAGGACCAGGAAGUGUGUUAUACACGCUACAUAUAUCUAUACAUUGUAUACUAAGAAAUAUACUAUAAAUCCAUACCACACAAGCGCGAGAGUCAUGCAAUCAACUCACCAAAGGACGUGCAGAGAGGACUCGAGAAACAAAAGGAAUAAACGACCAAAAUAAGAACAGACAAAAAAGCACAGUUCUCGACCACAAUAAGAGAAAAAGCAACUCCAGAACUGUAUGUUUCCAUUGAAGGGAGUCUCUGCGAAGUAAAAUGAACGUACCUCGUCCUUCAACAUGCGAAGGAGAGUGGUCUUCCCCGAAUUAUCCAGUCCCAAGAACAAGAUCUUGGCUUCCUUCUGCCACAGACCCAGAGACGCAAGAGCUCCAUAGAACCAAUCUACUAGAAACAUCGCUCCCUCUUUUUUCCUCUUCUCUCGACAAAACCCAAGUGAAAAUUCCCCGAAAUCUCAACCGACAAUGAGAAAGAAUCAAGAAAGUUGAGAGCUUGAAGCAACUUCAGCCGGAACCAGUUUUGAAUUUAUACUCUCCGUUUGGGGUCCUCAUAUCCGGUUGACUGCGCACGUGGCGCGUCGGGAGGGAGCGGGUGACUGGCUAUCCGCGGUGGACGUUGCUGCUCGUCCACGUGGGAGCUGCUGAUUGGGUGGGUUGCGUCUCGCGAAGGAGAUGACAACGUGGUCGACGCGGGAGAGGAGGUGCGACGGAUUGUACGGUCGGGAUGCGUUUGACGUUUCUGGCGAUCGGCGAAUCGGACGGACCAAGAUGAGGGGAUGAGGUAUCGCUCCUUGAUUGGCAGGAAAGAGGCAAGGUCAUUAAGAAGCUUUCUUUUUUUUUCUUUUUUCUUUUUAAAACUAUUUUUUGACUUCCGGGCAUUUUAUACUUGCAAAAAAAGGAAGAAGAAGAAGAAAUUUCCAAUUUAAUGUACAGAUUAUCAUCACAUAUGCAGAUUAGUGGUUUGAAUAUCAGGAAGAAUUAUGCAAAUCUCCUGCUGCCUUUAGGGUAAAUGCAUUGUUUUAUUAAUUUUUUUUUUCAGUACGGUCAUUAACCAUCGUUUGCAUUUUUUAUGUACAAAUGUAAUGUACAUGACUUCCAAAGUAAAGGCGUAUAUUCACAUUCUUUUUAUCAAAAUAAAUCUCUACCUUCUGUUUUUUUGGGGGAAAUAGGGAAAAAAAAAAAAGAAGGGAAAAAGGAUACAAUAAAUUAACUAAAGUGCCGGAAGAAGUGAUUAUCUAUAACAUGAUAAUAAAUAUAUUUUAUGCUAAUUCGUUUCCAACCUAGAGACACGAUCAAUUUGCCAUUUUCUAGAAAGUCAUGGUUUGAGUAGUGGGGCAAUUGAUGCAUCAUAGCUAGUCAAUCAUUAGGUGAUGAUGGAAAAGGAAAAAAGAAAAGAAAAAAGAGAGAAAAAGGCGAUGACGUAAAUGUGGGUAUCGUCAAUGAGAAACUUCAUUGCGCAGAUAUAGCUUCACUCCUCGUACAUCGUUCGACCUCGCAAUCCUUCACGGACGCGAAAGGAUAAAGAUCGAGAGGCAGAGCGACUCUCUCCAGAGAGAGAGAGAGAGAGAGAGAGAGAGAGAGAGAGAGAGAUGGUAGAAGGACGUGCUGUGACCAAAAAAGGGACGUCCGUGAGCGAGGGUGAGGAGCGACGAGCAAGUGAAGUGAGCGUGCCCAAGCCUUCUAGGAUAGGUGAGCUGUCGCGUGAGAGAGAGAGAGAGAGAGAGAGAGAGAGGGGCCUAACAGAAAAAGAUUCGGCUGAGAGGAGCGCGGCUGGUUUGGCAGAGAGAAGGGGGGGUGCUCGACGGGGACUGAUGAAAAUAAAGGUAGCGUUCGGCCGUGGGGUAAGGACAUCCGCGGUCAAACACUUGUCUUUGGGAACUCUGUUCUUUGGCUUUGUUUAAAAGGAAGCCGAAACGAUAGCUGGGUAUAAAAUAAAAACAUAUAUAAAUAAUCUUAAUAUAGAUUAAUCUACAAUAUGUAUCUUUUUGAUAUAUGUAUUGAUAUAUAUAAUGUACAUAGCUUCCCAAUUCUAUUUAAUUUGUCUUGAUUCCAAUCAAUCUAAAGUAAUCGAAAGGCAAUUCUUAAUAGUACGCUUCGAAUUCCUAGUUUUCUAAUUAUUUUUAAUACGAAUACCAAAAAUCAAAUCCAUGGACGACGGGGUAUGGAAUAUAGUAUAUUAAAAAAGGAAAAUUGAUUAAUUUUCUUUUAGCAUUAUAAAGAAGUAAUUGAUUAAGCAGUUAACAGAUGAUCUAAUAAGUUCUUUGGAAAUUUCUUUGGAUUUUGAAAAGAAAUAAAAUCUCGUUUUCCCUCGUCCACGAGCAUGCGCAAUUUGAACUAGCCGUCACUUUUGUCGAGUUUGAGCGUCACUUGCUAUUCUCUUUUGAGUCAGGACACAAGCUAGAGUUUAGAACAGGUCAAUUACUUCUCGUUAGUCCGUGCUCAUCGAACGCUUGAUAUAAUGCCUUAUUGUUGUUCUAAAGAUGAGACCGGGUUUUAUUUGCUUCUGUGAAAGCAUGUCGAGAUCUGUUUAAAUAUGUUUUAUUGACUUGAAAUAUCUUUUGUUUGGUGCGGGAUAAAUGCGACACCAAGGUCUAGGUUCAUCGACAUGCUAUAUUACUUUUAGUUAGACGCCUGAAACUCAUUCGACGAAAUGUUUUGAAGAAAUAUGUAAGAAAUAGCUGCUGUUUCUGUUCGAAUCGAAAGGUGCUGGUCAUUAACUUAGUUUCCAUGAAUAAUGAGAUCACUAAGUUGCAUUUUGUUGGAUAUAUUUGUGUGGAUCCUUCAUUGAACGGGAUGAGUUGACGGUGUGAUGGAAGACGUCGGAAAGUGAGCUCGUUUUAUUUCGGUGGUGGUCCAUGCUGGUUGGAACGGAUGACCAGCGGGGUGCGGUGGUGUAAGCUCCGGCGCCCGAGGAGGAUGUUGUGAUGCCUGGGUGUAUGAGUUCGAAAAAUGAAAGAGAAGAAAUUGAAGUUGCAGAGAAUGAAAGCUUCGGAGGAAGAAGAUGACCAGAAGAAAAGGAUAAAACAGGGGGAAAGACAAAAAGAGAAAAGAAAACAUAAUAAAUGAAAUAUUUAAAAUUGGGCUCUUUGGGGACGCGGGUCGGAUCCAAGUUGUCGGAUUGGGUCAACAGUCCGGAUUGGAUUACCCGGCCUGAACUUGUUUUCCUGCAUAUAAUAAUAUCAAAUUUUAAAAAGUUAAAAAAAUAUUUUUUAAAUGUAAAAUUAGAGAAAAAAGAAAAUUAAAAAUAACAUUGAAAAUUAUAAUAAUAUAAAAUGCUAAAAAUCGAAACCUGAUCAAGUAUUGUUUUCUCCACUUGAGCUUAGGCUCAAGUCGACUCAAUCCUCACAUAACUAUGAGUCAGCAGGCUUAGCAGUAAAACUUGGCAAUAAAAUCACAUAAGCUGAUCAUCCAGUAGUUACUUCAUGUGAAGAAUAAAAAAUGGUUAUACAAAGAGAAAAAGGCAAAGAAAGAAAGCUGUGGCAUACCAUUUUGAGUAGAACAAAUUCCUCCAUAAUCUUCACGGCUCAAAGCCAAGAGUCAAUUGAACAAUCGACGACAACCAGAUGAGAAGGGGAAAUGGAUGAAAUCUACAUGGCAAUAUGACUGCCAAACUAAUAAACACUACAUCAAAAUAAGGCACCUAAUUAUCGUCCCUUCCCAUCCCAUUCAACAGAACGAGGAAUCUCUACAACAUAAUUCAAGUACUAAAUUGGCCGAAAAGAAAAAAAAAACUAUUGUAGGUCCAGGCCAAUAUUUCACAGUUUUAUAAUAUGCAAGAAUAGUUCGAUUUCUUUGGGAAUAGGAAGCCAUGCAAAGAAGACCCUAGAAUUAGGCAUAAGGUGAUAGUGUGAUGUCGGUAAUCAAUCCAAUCAAUGAUUUUCCUUGUCACAUAAAUGUCCAGAGCAAGAUAUAUGCAUCAAUUAUCAAAUUCUAUAACAAAGGGCCAGAUCACCGAAUUGUUCUUCCAACUAAACUAGUCCCACCAAUUUAUGGUGGCUUCCCUUGAAACUUUACUAGCGAAAGUAAGACAGCUAUGACUACAUAGACAUUCUAUCUAUUCAUCUGCGACCAACCCACCGGCUUCCUUCCAACAUCACCAACAAAUUCAGUAGACCAAGCAUUCCGUAAAUGACUUACGCAUUUGUCAACACUUAUCAACUGAAAAAGAACGUCUUUGGUUACGAAUUGACAGUCUCAUGAGGCAAUAGCUCAAUUUCUCAAGUGAAGUAAUCCCGACAAAACGAAGGAAGAUUUGAUACUGUUAUCAUUUCAAUCAAUCAAAACAUAUUUUCUCAACAAAAUUGAACGAUUAUUCUUUAGAUUUGACGAGAUUUGAGUGUUAUGUUAGGGAGCGAGGGAGAGAGAGAGAGAGAGAUGAACUAACCUUUUUCGUAGUAACUAGAAGGGAAGAGCGAAGUAGCGUGAGGAGAAGCUCUAAAUAUAAGAAAUUGUGAAAAAAGUACUUUUUCUGCAACAUAUACAGUCUUAGUUGAUAGUAAAUUCCUUUAGUGUAUAUUUAGUAAUAUAUUAAACAGAUCAUAACAUUCUUUAUAUUCUGUAAAGUUUUGUAGCCAAUGUGUCAAUAAUUUUCUUUAUUUGUGAUAACUUUUCUCAGGCAAAACAAAUUUGACGGAUUAUGUUUUUGCCCUCUUUAUUCAACUAUCCCCCUUGAAUGUAAGACCGAUAUCAUAAAAGAGAGCUUUGACUUAUGAAGUUUCCAUGACAAUCAUAAUGUUUUGUGCACAAUAGAGUGAUAGUAAAGUAUCGUUGGAAAUGCUAUUUUUCCAUUUUUUUUUAAAAUUCUUCUAUUGAAAUAUGAUUAUUAAUAUUAAUAUAUAUAUAUAUAAAGGUAAAAUCUUAAAUUAAAGAAAAUGUGUUACUUUGUCAAUUUUUUUUGUUUUGCGGAUAAACAGCAACAGAAAAGAAAUUUGAGAUACGCAUCGUAAAUCUAAAACUUUUAGUACGACAUGCAAGUCUCGUGUUUGCAAGGGGAGCCUUCACACCAAACUUUUUGUUGGUGUCAAAUAAAACCAGAAAAAAAAGUCGUAGGGCGGGCCGGAAAUAGAACGUAAACAAACUUCAGGGGCGAAAACGGAAUUGUCAAAAAAAGAACGGAAAAAUGUGGCUCCAAGUCUCUCCCAUUCUCCGGCGUACAAAAUUGGAAAACGAAAAACAUCAAUCCCGCCAACGCUGGGAAGGUUCCCGAACAAGAGCACUUCGAGCUCGCUCGAAUAUCCGAUUCGAGACUAGAGAUCGAUUUGAUUCCGACUCGGGCAUCAUCAAUCGAUCGAAUCGCUCGAACAAGUUGAGAUUCCAUCGAGGGAGCGGGGCUCGGAGGUAGAGAAAGCUCGGUUGCUAAGCUCGGCUCUCGAGUUCGGAUUCGACGAGCAGUCCGCCAACAAGUGCUCGGACCAUCUCGUUUCGCGCUCUACGGUGACUCGAAUUGUUAUUUCGUCGCGCGUUCUUAUGCUAAUUAGCUUUUGUGGAGAUUAUGGAGGUGGCUCUCAUCCCCACGAUGAUGAUGAUGAUGAUGAUGGCUGUGGAAUCGUCUUGCUUUAGGUUUAAAUGCAUCGGAGCGGGUUUAGCGAAGUAGCAGUCCUACUGAUGAGCGAAAUGUCUGGCACUGGUCCAGCUUGAUGUGCUUAGGUUGCUUCGGAUGGACGGCGGUUUUUUCUUGAUUAUUGGCCCAAAUUGCGUGAUAUCUGGUCAUCAAGGAAUGACUUUAAUUGCUUGUGUUGCGGGGAUAGCUUGUGCAUUUAAACGUGCAUUCCUAGUUAAGGAGAUUCUUUGCGGUCAGUCUCAAGUCUGAUGAUGGCUAUGGAAUAACGGUCUACUUUGGAUUUGAAUGGGACCAGAGUUUAGGUCAUUGAGCGUUAGUCUCUUCCCCUGUUUCUUUGUGGGUUUGGCGGAGUAGUCCUAUUGACAAGUGAACUCUCUGGCUUAUAUCACUGCAAAUUACUUAUCGUGUCUUUCAAUGAUAACAAUAUCGUGUCUCUUUGACUAAGUGCAAAUUACGUAUUGGAAAUUGUAUGUUUUUGAUCUCUUGUUUGCCAUGGAUCUUGUAAAAUCAUCUCUUUCUUCUUUUGCUUUUCUCAAGGUGACAAAGGUCGAGAGUUGAUCACCGUGGAGCACUGUGGCGAUGACAUCCUAGCAGAACUUGUUGAAACCAUGCAAGAUUCUUAGGAUUGGGAUGAUUUGCAAGCUGCGAAAUCAGAAGCUCGUGGAGUUUUGACCAAUAUGUUUGGCCAAGAUAUCUAUAAUGAUGGUAAUGCAAUGUUAUACAUGCUGUCAAUAUUAUAGAAGAUUCUCCACAAUGUGUGAAAAAUCAAACUUUCCUUGAGGUGAGGAUUCCUCUACUGACAAUGAAGACAAAGAUGAUGUAUUGGGCAGUAAAAUGGGAAGGAAAUCCUCAUGUAUAUUCCUGGCCAAAGCAGUACUCUGAGCAAUACAUCCACCCAAAUUUUAGGCAGACAAUCUUCAAAAUCCAUGGUAUGCUUCUCCCAUAGACAUAGACAAUACUGCAAAACCACUUAAAUCAGUGUGUGACUAUACUUUUCUCUUAUAAUUUAUCAUCUGCUUGAUCAUUUCCAAUUUGCUUGUGAUUCUGCACACAGCAAAGGACCUACACAAUGUUCAUGUCCAAAAGCAUUUAGUAAAUUGCUUAUGGGGUCUCUCAUCCAAUCAAAUGUCCAAUAGACGGUCAUAACUUUUGCCACUCACUUCCAUGCUCUUCAUGAUCCAAAAUGACAUAUUAGAACUCUUUGGUCAAUAAAGAAGUUGAUUUCAGUUUUGGAUGAUGUACAAAUACAUAUAUUUCUCAAAUGCUAUGAGAGUACAGCAGAUCAUCAAAGUGUGGAACAUCAAAGUGUGGAACUUAGCAAUCCAGCGUCUUUGAUAGGAAUGUUUUGUGUAAAUGAAGGCUUGUGGUUUCUUUGAGCACAUUUUUCAUUUUCCAUGACAAUUCAUGUCAGAAACUAUUAGGUAUGGUAUAGGCUUAUUUCUGUUGAAGGACUGUAAGAGCACCGUCACUCAAGGCUCAAUAUCAUUAGUUUCAAAUAAAAGAGAUUGCUCUCAAGUUUCGACAUCCAAACAAGGGACUCUGAGUUAUGCGGAAUUCCAAGCCUUGGAUGACAUAGAAUUGGCAAAUGCUGUCAUAUUCGGAAACAAGGCAUUUCGACCAAUGCAGCCUCAAGCUUGUAAAGCUUCUAUAGCCAAGCAAGUUUGCCUAAUUCUCAUGCCCACUAGAGGUGGUAAAAGUUUAUGUUACCAGGUUAGUGAAUGUUAACAUUGUCUCAACUGGGUGAUGAUUGUAUGUAGAAGUGUCUGGACACAAUGUUAGAGCACAAGUGUUGUGCACUUUGCUCAGUGGUUCCACCAAUUAAAUGUUUAAGGGUAGACAUGUAUGUCAACAUUUAAGCUUUAACAUGAUCUUCUGAUCUGCUUUGUUUAGCAUUUUUACGAAGGUUGUGAACUUAAGGAAGGAAAUGAUUUUCAAAUGAAAAUUAAGCUAUAGGAAGUGAUUCAGGUACAUAAGCAUGGGUUCCAAUGUAUGGCAUCGGACAAAAGUAGAAAAGAAGGAAAAACAGUACAUUCUCGUUCUGCCUUUGCACUUCUCUAUCUGGUCUGUAAUUUUUUGGAUUUGAAGUUUGUGCACACUUCUAGGACCUUCUGAUCACUUACAGGAAAAUUCAUCUUGUUUAUGCAUGUUAAGUGUUGCUGUCAGUCAUAUUCAGGUCCAAUUCAAAAGGGUUAUUAAGUCAAAGAGAAAUAAGUUUUCAAAGUACUUCCACCGAAUGCGGGUUCUUGAUUUUUAUAUUUCCUUUGCAGUUAUUUGCUAUGCCAUUAUCUCAACAAAGGGUGAUGAUCUAUGGCUUGUUUUUCCCAUAAUUGGUUUGAAAUUAAUGUGCUUCUUUUUCCUUUACAAGGGAUCUUAGUUGCAAGCAAAAUUAAUGAUAACUGAAUUAAGGAGGAAGAUAUAAAUCUGGAUCUAUUAAGUUGAAUUUUUUAGAAGUGUUUUCUGUUAGUCUUGAAGUAGUUGAUAUAUGUACUGAAAGUACUUAUAAAACAAGUAGUGACAACUGGUCCCUCCUGAUCAGCUGAAGGUGAAAGAAAUAAUAAUUCCAUUGUCCCUUCCUUUCUUCAUUCGCUCUUCUGAUGUUUUUACCCUUCGUUUCAGCAGCCGGCAACUCUAAAACCAGGUGUCACAGUUAUAUCUCCCUUACUAUCUCUCAUCUAGGAUCAAAUAAUUACUGUAACCCUCAAGUACAACAUGCAAUCUACUUUCUUGGACUCUCAACAGACUGUUGCCCAAUUGGCAAUUGUUCUCCGAGAACUAAGGCAAGGUUUAGCUCUAUUGGACUUCUAAAACUUUUAUGUCGAGUGUUGUGACUGUCAAAUUAUUAACCUCCACUUCUGCUUUGCCUGCCCUUUCAGAAAAGAUAAACAUCGUGCAAGCUAUUGCUUGUAACUCCUGAAAGGAUUGGGGGAAAAAUAUCAUUUCUCAAGAUAUUGAAUUGCUUGCACAGAAAGGUAUUGUUUCUGAUGCAAUGUAAGUUUUUAUCAAAAAGGUUCUUUAUAAUUUCUUGUAUCCGAUGAUAUUUUAUUGCAGGCACAACUAGCUGGUUUUGUUGUUGAUGAGGGACAUUGCGUGAGGUAUGCAUAAUCUUUGGCAUGCCUUGUACAUGAAGAAAGAUCAUGCUAGAGUUACGUCAAAAAGAAUAAUCAUUUGUGAUGUUGCCACUGCAAAACUAUUGUCCCUAUUCCAGAUAAAUAUAAGUAAGUUUCCUUUUAUAUAUAAGCUAACUUAAACUCUUUUUCCAAACUUUUUUGCAUUUUCUUUGUUUCUAGCCUUCUUAAAUUGUCAGUGUUACCCUAGACCUUCUGAAGCCCCUGUGAAGUUCUAAUAUAACAGAAUGCAAUGUUCCUUGUUUGAGCUUUGGAAAAGAUCUAGGUUCUAUCGUUUGGGAGAACUUAGUGGCACAUCAUUCAUUAUAUUGAGUAAGAGCACUCAACUUAAAUAAGCUGCAAUUGAAAUGACUUCCUAAAGUAAUUGGAAGUGGCUAGAAGUGGCAUAAGCUUGGAUAAGGAUGCCAUCUGCUGUCUAUGGUUGGCAUGAUACUCCAUCUCUUAAGCUGGUUCUUGUGUAUCUAUUUAUUCUAUUAACGGUUGCACUAUAUAUUGACAACUUGAGAAAGGCAAAGGUCCACCCAUGUGAUCAUUGAUUGUGUUUCUUACAAGGUAUUAACUGGAUUUGCUCGGCCAGUUCAAUCUCAUGAAAGGAAGAUGCCAUCUGCUAUCUAUGUUUGGCUUAAUACUCAGUCUCUUAAGGGUCCAUCCACAGGAUCAUUGAUCGUGUUUCUUAAAAGGUAUUAACUGGAUUUGCUCUGCCAAUUUAAUCUCUUGAAAGGAACAUGCUGCUAGUUCGAGCUUUUAUUAUACAUUUGCCUGAUUGACCACAAGAGCAUAUUUGUUGUCACUUUUGUGGUUGUCAUGAAAGGAACGUACUGCUUGUUCGAGAUUUUAUAUAUGCUAACUUAAGCUCUUUUUCCAAACUUCUCUGCAUUUUCUAUGUUUCUAGCCUAACCAAAUUGUCGGUGUUACACUAGACCUUCUGAAGCCCAGAACCCUAUGAAGUUUCUAUAUAACAUAAUGCAGCGUUCCUUGUUCGAUGAAAAGAUUUAGGUUCCAUCAUUUGGGAACACUUAGUGGCCCAUCUUUCAUUAUAUUGAGUAAAGAGUGCCUAUUUCUUACGUUUUAGAAGUCGAUUAACGCGGUGGAAUGACCCGGAGAAGCAGAGAAGAGGAGUGUGGCCAGAUACAAGCUUUAUUUGGUCAAGGGCAAGUUCAAGGCUUCUUUCAAACAAGGGUUCCGGUGGUUGAAGUGCAAAUGCUCGAGCUUUAUGUGUCGAUUUUUAAUAUGUAGAAAUUACGGAAUAUCAUACUCAUCAUCAUCAAGAGAGAAAAGGAUGAAAUCAGUCAGGAGGAAACAAAGAGGUUUGCUUUGUUUAUUGGCUAAUCAUCUUACAAUGUAUUUAAUGGUAAUUAGGUAUUCAGAAGAGUGCCACAAUGUUCGAUUUUUCCAGUAUAAUGUUUGUUUGAAGCCUUGUUUCAUUCAUCGGUCUCCAGCAUUCGAAACAUAGGAAGAUGAGACCACUCGUAUGUGAUAUUCACAUAUAUUUAUAUUUGCCAAAAGUUUUUUUUCCCCGAAUUUCCUUACCUUCUGAUUUAUCUGCACCAUGAUUCUGCAUGCAUGCAUGCAUUCUCGUGCAAAGUAAAAAUUGUCUGACCUGCUAAUUUCUCUUCUCAACAACAUGAUGCUGAUUGCAAAAUAAGAUGACUACUUUGGCCCCGUUUGGUUCAACUUUGGGGAAAUGGCUUUGCAUUUCCCCAAGUAUCCUCGAGAGAAUGGGCAUUUGGGGAAUGCAAAGUGUGUUUGGGAACUCAUUUUUGUGUAUAUUUUGCAAAGUAGUUUUGAGGUGAAAAGAAAAAGAGAAAAAAUAAAGGAAAAGAAAAGGGAGGAGGAGAUGCAGCUGUGGCAGUGGGGCUGGUGGUGGUGGGGAGGCGGCUGAUGGCGAUGGAGAGGCGGCUGGUGGUGGUGGUGGCGGCGGUGGGGUGGCAGUGGGGGAAGGCGGCUCGCCUGAGGUCGCCGACCUCAGGCGACACCCUCUGAGGUCGAGCGACCCAGGCGACAACUGAGUUGGGCGGCCUCAGGCGAUGCCGCCUGAGGUCGAGCGACCCAGGCGACUCCGCCUGAGGCCGCGCGACCUCAAGCGACGUCGCCUGGGUCGAUUUCUCCCUCCGAUCCUUCUCCGGCCUCCAGGUAGCGCGCUCUUGAACUCGUGGCCGUCGUCAUCUUCUUCCGAUCGUCGUGGGUUUUAGGAAGGAUUUUCUCGCCGUCGUUUUCUGGGGCUGUUGAGUGCCGCCGUCGCCGUCGCUGUUGGCGGUGUUGCCUGGGUCGCUCGACCUCAGGCGCGACCCAGGGCGUCGCCUGAGGUCGCGCGGCCUCAGGUGACGCCGCCUGAGGUCGAGCGACCCAAGAGACGCAGCCUGGGUCGCGCGACCCAGGCGACUCUCGAGGUUGCCCGACCUCAGGCCACCUCGCCUGAGGUCGUGCGACCUCAGGCGAGGCUUCCCGGCGGCCAGAUCUGGCCCCCCGGUGGCCAGAUCUGGCCGCUCGCGGCUGAGCACCGCUCGUCGGCUGAGCUUCGUGAGAGAGAAGGAAGAAGACGAUGAACAGUACUUUUCGAGGGCAAAAAAGGAAAACACAAAUAUCAAUAAGGGCAAUAUUGGAAAUAAAAAAAUUCAUUAAAACCUAGACUAGCAUUCCGAGAAUGCUGAAAGCCCAAAGCAGGUCCGGACCUGCUUUGGGCUUUCAACAUUCCAAAUGCUCAAUGCAAACUUGAAAAGCCGAACCAAACGCAAAAAAUUUUCCCCAAGGGGCUUUGAGGGCGCAAAGCCCCUUGGGAAAGCUGAACCAAACGGGGCCUUUCAUUUGUAGGAUUUGACGUUUACAUCUACUUUUGUGGUCGAUUUCGUUGUUUAGAACUUCUAUUAUUGGCCAAAUGUUGUUUUAAAUCCCCGUUUUGGGGUUCAUUAACUCCGUAAUUCCUCAAUUUGUCUAUUUCAAUUCCUCUGCAUUAUAUGAUUCAUCAUAUGGCAAACUACCAAAGCUAUACAUUCUAACAUGCAGCUAGCAGGUGUUAAAUAAGCUGAAAGGCCUUCUAUACUUACAUUCUGAUUUAAGGACAAUUUUCAUAUUCAACUACCAUCCUGUCGAGCUUGGAGUUACAAAUAUGAGGAAAUCAAAGAGCCUAAACCGAAUCUUCUCUUGUUCUUUGGGAACUUACAUAGUUAUUGUUUGAACGGCUGUUAUUCAUAGGAUCUUGAUGUAAAAUGUGAGAACUUCCAAAAACAAGCUCGAAGCAAAUUGUUAGCAUGAAACGAAAGUAGAAGAGAAAAAGGGGGGGAAACCAUGAACAAAACCAUAUCAGCUCAAAUCGGUUCAGAAUGUUUAUCCAAUUAUCCGGUCUAUUCAUGAGUUCCAACUUCAAAUCAAUUCGGCUGACGGGGCUGUGAAUGAUGUUUCAUAAGUAGUCAAACACAAAGAUACUGCCCUUUUGAUUAAUUACCUAGACACUGACUAAGCAGCUAAGUAAAUAAAGUGUAGAGCUGAUACAUUGACUUUACUUGCGACUUUUCUCGUGUAAUGUUUGACCAAUAUUCUGAAAUUAAAUUAUUUCCUGUUAAGUACAUUUAACAAGUUUUUCAACACGACCUGCAUUACAUACGUGUUAGUACUUAUAGAUUCAAAUGUGGCUUAACAAGCUACUUGGCCUUGUUUUGAGCUCUGAAAAAUUGAGUCAAAGUUCAAGGGGACAACAAGCACAUCAUGUCACGCCCCGAUCCUCAGGCACGCACACAUCCGUCUCACUUGGUCGAUUUUAUAAUGCGAUAUCCCAGGACAAUGUAUCGCCGACCCUUUCAUUUUUAAGCACAUGCGGAAGCAGUUAAAAUCCCCAGACAAUAAAACAAUGGGAUAGAAAAACAGGGCCAUAUUUUUCAUAUUGAAAUUUAUAACCAAACUUUUGUACAUGACAUCAACUAGAGAACUUCAUAACUAUUCACAUCAAUUGGAGUUCACAAAAGAAGAUGAAAUCUCAAUCCCUUCAGGUCAUACUCAAAAUCUCUCUCGGUAUUAUCUUCUUCUUCCAAAAGUCCUUCUACUGGUUUCACCUCCAAGUUCUCCUUCUCAGAUUCCUCCUCAGCUCCUCAAUGGGGUCCUGAAAUGUUUUUCCCCAAACUGGGAUGAGACUACGUCUCAGCGAGUUCUACCCCACUAAGCCCAAUUAGUAAAAUAUUAUACUAUAGGCUGCCUAAACACGCACAAGGAAGAGGACUUACCUUGGCCUCAGAUCCAACCUGCAAGUCAGUACAAUUCAUAAUAGACACCCAAGCAAUCAUAACACAGAUCGAAGCAUCGAUCAAAUCGACAUAGUCGAUUAUAUGCCAACAAGACCUCUCACGGUCAUUUCCAAUCAGUCAAUCAAUUCACAACAUCAAAUCAAAGCACUGAUCAAUCGACCACGUCGAUUACAUGUCAGCCUGACCAUUUCCCGGUCAUUCAAGCUAUUGCUAUUCAGACUCAAUUACCAAAACCAAUAACCGAGCCACGUGCAUUCUCCGAGGUAAUGCAUUACUUUACCGAGCCCACGUGCCCUUUAAAAUGCCAUUUUGAAUCAGCGAGCCCACGUGCAUUCUCCGAGGCGAUGCAUCAAGUCACCGAGCCAACGUGUCUCUUCAAGAUGCCAAAUGUACUCAUUGGGACCACGUGCAUUCUCCGAGGUAAUGCAUCAAUUUACCGAGCCCACGUGUCCUUUUAAAUGCCAAAUGUACUCAUUGGGACCACGUGCAUUCUCCGAGGUAAUGCAUCAAUUUACCGAGCCCACGUGCCCUUUUAGAUGCCAAACUUAAUCACCGAGCCACAUGCAUUCUCCAAGGCGACAUACUUCGUCACCGAGCCAUGUGCAUUCUCCGAGGUGAUAUACCUAAUCAUCAAGCCCCGUGCCUUUCAUGAUGAUUCAUCCCAUUUGUAAAGUAAUCAUCCACAAUCUUAAUUCGUACUCAAUUUACCCGAAUAAUCAAUCUAGGAACAUAUCCUAAAUAUCCACAAUUAAAUCAAUCUGGCACAAUCCAAAGCUCAAAUAAAUAAACGGACUGCGCCACGACAAUCAGCACGAGAUUUCGGUCGUCGGCUAACUCAAUAUUAAUUUCUGAAAAUUAUUUAUUUAAUUAAUUAAUUUCGAAAAUUAAUUAUUAAAUAUUAAAAAUUCCUUAUAGCUCAAAAUAAGGCCCAAUUGAAUAAACAAACUUCACCACGGUCAUCAGCAUAAAUUUCCGGUCAUGGACCAUCCCAGUUGAAUUUUCGGAAAAUAAAUAAUUAUUUAAUUAAUUUCGAAAAUUAAUUAAUAUUAAAAAUUCGAUUUAGCUCAAUUUAAAGCCCGAUUAGAUAAACGGACUUCACCACGGUCAUCAUCAUAAUUUUCCGGUUUCAGACCAUCUCCCUUGAAUUUUCGGAAAAUAAAUAAUUAUUUAAUUUAAUUCCGAAAAUUAAUAUUUAAAUGCCAAAAAUCUCACUUAGGCCCGAAUCAUUAAAUUGAAGCUCAAUUAGGGGUCCGAAAAUUCCCGAGACACUCCCAAUAAAUAGUAGACCACGUCUACUUCUUAAUUGCACAAUCAAUUUAUCUAAAUCGCAUCACAAUUGACUAAUAAUUGCUAAGUACUUCUAAUCUAACAACCUAAACAUAAUUAAUUAAAAAUAAACCAACAUAAAGCAUAAUUAGCCAACUAAUUCGGAAUUAGUGAGAUUGCUCAUCAAAUCGCGCGCAAAUCGGAUCAAUCCGACGGUGGCGAUGCGAGGAACGAUUGUUCCCAAAGCGACUCGCGGAUCCGGGAUCGGGAAACGGCCCAAAACGGCCUUGAACAGUGCUGGAAACCCAUUUUUCCAGCUGCUGUUCAUGGCCAAACGAGGCUGAUCCGGUGGCUGAGAUGGCGGAGCAAGGCCGGCGGAGGGCGAGGGGAACGUCGGGGAGUCGGGCGGAGUUGGGCGGUGGCCGGAGGUGGCCGGACGGUGGCUGGUCGGUGCGGACAGGGGCGAAACAGGGCUGAUUCGCGGCUGGAUCGCGCGGGACGGCGGGACGAUGGCGAGCGGCGGGCACUCGGGCGCGGCGCGGACGCGGGCGGCGGUGCGGCGGCGGGAUGAGCGGCGAGCAGUUCUCGGCGAGCUGCUGUCUCCGAGCUCCUGGUUCGCACGAGAAGAAAAGAAGGAGAAGAAGGGAACCGGUUCUGUCGUGAGGAGGAAGAAAGAAGAGAGAGGAGAGAGAAGAGAGAGAGAGAGAUAUGCACUGACCAGUCAAAGAAAGAGAGAGAGAGGGAAUGGGCGGUGGGGAAUCGCAUGCGGGGGAGGGGAGAGGAGAGAGAAAGAAAAGAGAGAAAAGAAAGAAAAGAAAAGAGAGGGAGAGAGAGAAAGAAAAAAGGAAAUGCAUAAUUCUUUAUUUCAAUUUUCCUUUUCUCUUUUCCUUUUCUUUUUAAUUUUCUUUUUUUUUUUGGUCUUCAAAUUUUCUUCCGAUAAUUUCUUUAUUGAAAUUUCGGACCCGUCAAUAAAUUGACGAGCGAUGAGACAAGAUCUUAUUUAUCCAGUCAAAUUAAAAUCCGAAAAUCUGGAUGUCACACAUCAAACCAUGAAUACCUUGCGAGUAGCUUUCAAAUACUAAAAUUCCACCAUUGUAAUCUAGUAUAGGGUACAAGAAUAUUUGAGAGUGACCUCAAAGAAAUUGCUUCGAUUGACACUUGAAUGUGUGAAAUAGUGACCGCAAUUUGGUGGAGUAUCAUCUCAUUAUAAACCAAUUAGAUGACCCUUAGAAGUUUUUUGUUCAAUAAAAAUGAGUAAAUUUUGGGAAGGGCUCUUUUCACCCUUCCAAAAAUUUUGUCCACGUUUUGUUAGUAGUCUUCAACUGCAGCCAAUGCUAGAGAGAAAUAGGUUUCAGGUGUGAAAAUAUAUACGGUUGGGUCUCUUCAGCUUUUAGAUUCAUGCUUAAAUAAAUCAAGUUUGAGAUUAUACAAUAAAAGUGAUAGCAAAAUGUGGACAUAUGAAUUUUCUGAUGUAGCACCAGAACAGAUGGAUGAUUUUACACUACUGAACACCUUUCUCCUGUGUUCAAAAUUCAACCAAAUGAGAAACUACUGUCUUCUUGUAAACCUUUUCACUGAAACUCUUGGCUGCAAUUGACAGAUUUUUUGCUGAUUCCAUGGCAUUCGCUUUUUCUAGUCGCAAAAUUGUAGCCUGAAGUGGACAUCUAACUGGUAAUGUCGUUGACAAAUCUCAUUUUAUGCUUAACUUGCACAAAUAAAACCACCUGCACGUGCGGUCUUCCCGCAAGCAAUUUGUGCUCGCGAAAGACAAAUACCCCACAUGAGAAGAGGCUGCUUCAUAUCCAGAAUCCUCUGAAGAGUAUUAACAACACGGAGCACAUGAUAAACGCCACUAGGUUCAGAAUACAUUUUCAUAAUGACAUAGCUCAUUCCUGAAAGCAUCUCCAUCGUGUGGUGUUUGGGGACUUUCUCCGAGUUCCAUGAAAUGCAGCUUGAAUCUACAUGAUGAGGAUAGGACUGACUCAUUAUUAAUAAAUAAAGAAAUGCGAGAUUGCAGCAUCACAAUUUACCCCAUGAAAGAUAAGGUACAAAUGCAUAAACAUCAUUUACACCAAUCGCUGUUCAACCACAGUGAACAAAGACUUCAUUAGAUGGCAGAAGAAAAAGAAAAAGAAAAUAGGCUUAAAAGAAGUAAACAAUUAGCAACAACACUUUCCCCGUUUGUGUUCAGGAAAAAAAUUGAUGUUAAUAAAAUUAUGCUGAAAAGGUGAAAUGCCUAAACUACAGAACAGAAAGACGUACUUGUUACUUGAUCAUUGGCAGUAUCCAAUCAGCAAAAUCAGCAAUUCGGGAUAGAUUGUGAGGAGGUCAGUUUCAACUUCACUAUUCAAUAAUGCAAACAUGAGAACUGAGCUUAUCAAAUCAAAAACCUAUAUGACAACAUUCAAAGGAUAAACUGAUAGAAACGGAGGAGCAUAGCAGUGCAUACCUACCUCUGCAUAGCCUCAUCGAGUUUAGGAGUGAUAUCCUUAGAAUGCAACCAUAUCAAACAACUCUGCAUCAGGGUAACAUACACAAAAAUCACCAGCUACUCAUUUGAUUAACAAAAAGAUAGAACCUAACGUGUGACAUCCUGAAAUUCGAGUCCUCUGAAGGACGAGUGGAUGUGAAUUUCGUCAAUGCAUUGUUGGUUGAUCUCACUCGGAAUUGAUCACUCCUGAGACACUGACCUUGAGGGGAAAGGCUACUGAGGACAGAACUCGUGCGACUAAAGGACUCGACCUGGGAAAACGACUUGACCGUGAGACUUGCGUGAGGAUGAUCCUGUAGAUAGGCAGGCCGAUUCUAAGGACGACUAAAAGUCGAUUCGCGGACAGAACAUAAUGGAACGACGGGUGAUUCCGUUUACUGUUAUCAAAUCCACGAACGACCCUAUGUCGAUCCUCAGUAAUCGUGUACUUUCAAAUAAGAAUCUAUCCUCCGUAAUUUCAUGCAGUCAAGGACGUCCAUGCGUCGAGAUGUCUUGUACGUGGUUUGGCACGAGUCGGUCACGCGUGAAUCCUCACAGCCACCCGUCAGUCUGAGUUGUAACCGAAAUGGCAUUUGGCGAAAUUGACAUGGCAAUAGAACUUAUGAUUGGACUUCGAAUUAUUGGGAAUGUCCGGAACGGACUUUGGAUGAUGCUACUUCAGACAGUCGACAGAGCCAGUUAAGCCGAGCAAUUGGAAAAAGGGAUUUUCGGACCGAGGAAGCAAGCCGUGAGGUCGUGGGCCGGGCCAAGCCAAUGUGGGCCCUAGGCCCAAAGUUGGGACAGCCACCAAAUGGGCCUAAGUCAAGCAAGUGAGCCCAUUGGGCCAAACCAACUAUUUCUCUUUCAAAGCCCAUGGUCCAACUUUGAGCCCAAUCAAGCCCAACCAAUUUCCAAGCCCACUCCUAUUCAUGGCCAAGCCCAUUUCUUAGGCCCAUCCACCAAUUUCAGCCCAAGGUCAGAUGUGUAAUUUGUGCAAGGUGGAAAUGACCAAAUUACCCCUAGUUGUAGGGAGAAAAGGCUAGAGAAGAGAGAGAAGAUGAGGCCAUCAUGGGCAUGGGAACUUGGGGCAGGUUUUAUGGAGGCUUUGACAGCCCUCCCAUCACUCUCUCUCUCCCCCAUUCGGUCCCCAUCUCGAACGGAGCUCUCUCUCUCCUCGUUUUCCCUCUCCUUCAGUUCCUGCUCCAGCUGACCCUUCGUCAAAGAAUCGAGUCAAAAGUGGUCUUCCCGGAUGAAUCAGACAACGAGCCACAUAUCACCGUGACCGGGAGAGACAGACCGUUCCAACGAGCCCGAUUUCGUCCCGAACGGAGCCACCGGCCGGCCUGGGCGCCGCCGUGAAGGAACCGGUCGCUGGUCCGUCGGUCCGCCUGCAGCCUGCACUGUUUCGCGGUUUCGGCCAUUUUUCUCCCAUUCCGGUCCUUCCUCCGCCCAUCCCAACCUCCAGCAAGACCCCCAAGAACCCCGGGAGCCACCGGUUGCCAACCACCCACUUGUCGGAGCUCCAAUCGGCCCGUUUUCGCCAUUGAAGCUGCUGGUUUCUUCUCUGCAGUUCAGCCAAGAUCAGAAGCAGAUGACAGCAAGGUUUUGGAGACUUUGUGGCCCGUUUUCAAGCCCUUCCCGGCCUCCGUUGGUGUCGCCGCUUUGGGGUUUAUCGACCGCCUUGGUGUCGUGGUCGCCGUGAACUCACCGGCGUGCAAAACCGGUGAGUUUAUCCUCUAAUUCUUGCUUAGUGAGUUAAUGACGCUUAAGGGGUGUUUAGAUUAGUCUAAUUAGGUUUAGGUGGUUAGAUUAGAUUAUUUUAAUGUAAAUUAGAUUAGUUGUAUGAUUAGCUUAAUGGAUGUUUAAUUAGGGCUAAUUGUAUGUUUAAAUUAGUGUAAUCUAGUUUAAGCCCUAAUUAAUUAUUUUUAAUUAAAUAAUUAUUUCGAAUUUAUAAAUAUUAUUUUAUUAAAUUAUAUUAUUAUAAAAUAAUAUUUAAUUGUUUAAUUUUCGGAAUUAAAUUAAUUAUUUAAUAAUUUCGAAAAUUAUGCCGGGAUGGCCGGUCGUUAGAAUUUCGCGCUGAUCGCAGCAGUGCGGUCGGUUUGUGUUAAUUGUAAGCUUAAAUUGAGAAAUUGAGUGAUUGAUGGUUAUGGUUAAUUAUUCCAAAAGUGUGGAAUUGAGUGAUAUUGAUGAAGUUUUGGUAUUUAACUUGAAAAUACCCGGUGUUGGCUUUUGGCACCGUAAUUGGUUGGUAGGUCCAGUUUGUAUCGAUUGAUUGAAUGGAUGUUUAUGUGGGGAUUUAUCCCAAAGUUGAUUAGUGUUGGUUUUGAUGGGAAAAUGACCGUGAGAGGUUGUGAGUUGAACCUAGAAAGCCACUAAAUCUAAAUUAUGCCGAGUGGGGCCGUGAUGCCACUACAUAUAACAUUGCCGAGUGGGGCCGUGAUGCCACUACAUAUAACAUUGCCGAGUGGGGCCGUGAUGCCACUACAUAUAACAUUGCCAAGUGGGGCCGUGAUACCACUACAUAUAGACUUGCCUAUAAGGCCGUGAUUGAGAGUCGAGAAUGAAUAGUCAGAAUGACCGUGUGAUGAUUUCGAUGACAUGUAAUCGACUGAGUCAAUUGAUCGAUGAAUCGAUCUGAGUGAUUGAAUUGUUUGGAUGAUGUGGUUGUCAAUAUUUAUUGAUUAAACUAACGUGCAUGAAGGAAUUGAGGCGAGGUAAGUCCUCUAUCCUAUUUGUGUGGCUAGAGCGCCCUGAGGCGUAUUUUCUUCCUAAUUGAGUUUUAGAGGGUAGGACUCGCUGAGACGUAGUCUCAUCCCGGUUGUGGGAUAAUAUUUCAGGUCCUUAGAUGACGGUCGUGGAGGACCGGAAGUCCUGGAGUUCGGAAGGUGGAGGCUGAAGAAUCGGCGAACGUGUCUGACAAGUUGGUCAUAGGACAGUUCCCUUUUUGUUGAGCCUGUCUAUUUUGUAGACAUCCAGUGUUGUAUAUAAACCUAUGUGUUUAUAGAAAGCUUGUUUGGUUGUGAUUGAUUGCCUGCUUUUCUAUCCCAAGUUAAAUGUUGUCAGGGGAUUUGUUUCGCUUCCGCAUGUGCAAUAAAAAAUGAAUGGGUCGGCGACAUGUCCUGGGAAGUCGCAUUUGUAUCGACCAGAGUGGGAUGUUUGCGCGCUCGGAGGAUCGGGGCGUGACAUAACGAGCGUACAAACAACAUAUUCAAUUUAAAAAACUACAUUUACUAUCAUUCAGGUACAUGCUGUUGAGACCAGAUCAAGUGUUUUGGAUCUUCACAAGCAUCAAAACUUCCUCAGAAGAUUCCACUUGGCCCACGAGCCUCUUCAAGUUUGGCACCUCAGCUGUUGCUGAUGCUUUCUCUGCAAAAUUGGUCUCAGGUAUGGAACUUGAAGUUCCUCAGCCAAGUGAGCCACACCCAAUUCAGUCAUGUGAUAAAAUAAUUCCAUGACAACAAUAUGAUAAAAUGAAAUGGAAACUAAUUAGCAAAUUCUUGAGCUCCUCGGCCCAGCUUGUUUCACAGAUGGGCAAAAAAUUGUCCAGUUAUGCAAAAGGCCAUCAAUACAACUGAUUGAAUUUAAGUCCCAAAGUAAGCCUUGAUCAUUACAUAGACCAACCAAAUAGAAGCAGCACCAGUUUACCUUGCUUGAUAAUAUUUCAAGACAACAUUUUGCCAACUGGUAAUUUUAAGAAAGGCGUACAUUCAUAUAUGACAGACUAGCCAAAACUACUUUAACAUUUCUUAAUCACCAACCAAAAACACACCGAUUCUCGUUCAAGAAAAAGACCCUAUAUAAACUCCAUCCACACUAGAGACUCAGACAAACCUUUGAUUGAGAAUUUGCAUAAAACAACUCGAUACUCCACUCUAGAACCCAGUACUUGAUUGAGAAUUCGCCAGGCGGCGCGAGCUCCAUGCAUCCACCUAAGAGAAUCUGGAAGGGGAAAAGUAAUGCUGCUCUUUAAGAAUGAACUGGUCUCUCUACUUGGUUUUAGGUAUGAAAAUGUACAUGGUUGUGUCUAUUCUGCUUUUAGAUUCAUGCUUAAAUAAAUCAAGUUUGAGAUAAUAUGACCAAAGCAAUUGCAAAAUGCCUACAUAUGAAUUUUCCGACGUAACCAGCCUAGAGAGAUUAUUUUACACUAAUGAACGCCCGUAUUUUGUGUUCUAAAUUCUUUCGAAUGAGAAACUACCGUCUUCUUGAAAACCUUUUCAUUGAAACUCUUGGCUGCAAUUGACAGAUUAUUGCUGAUUCCACGGCAUUUGCUUUUUCAAGAAAAAAGUCUCUCCUAGUCACAAAACUGUAGCUUGAAGUGGACAUCUAAAUGGUAAUCUUGUUAACAAAUCUCAUUUUUUGCUUGACUUCACAUAUAGAACCACUUGCACAUGCGGUCUUCCUCCAAGCGAUUAGUGAUGGGGCCUUGGUUAAAGAAUAGCACGAUUUCAAAGCUUGCAAAGGACUAAUACACCACAUGAGAAGUCGCCUUUAUCAAGAAUCCUUCGAAGAGUAUUAACAACAUGGAGCAAAUGAUAAACGCCAAGUGCAAAUAAUUUUGGAAUGCCUUUCCAUGCUGACAUAGCUCAUUCUUGCCCAUAUCUCCAACCUGUGGUGUUUGGGGAGUUUCUCUGAGUUUCAUCAAAUGCAGCUUUAAUCUGCAGAAGGAAGAUAGCACUAAUUAAUUAUAUUAAAUUAAGAUAUCCAAGAUCAUAGUAUCAGAAUUUACCCCAUGACAGAUAAGGUAAAAAUGCGUAAACAUUGACACCAAUCGGAGUUGGACCACAAUGAACAGAGACUUCAUUAGCUGGCCGAUGGCAAAGAAACCAACAGACUUAAAGGAAGUAAACAUUUAGCAACACUUCCCCUGUUUGUGUUUAGGAACAGAAUUGAAGCUAAAAAAAUAAUGCUGAAAAGGUGAAGUGCCUAAACUACAUAACAGAAAGAUGCAUUUGCUACUGGGUUAUUUUGCAAGUUCCAAUUAGCAAAAUCAGUAAUGCGAGAUAGUUUGCGAGGAGGUCAAUUUCAACUUUACAAAUCCAGUGCCGCAUACAUCACAACUGAGCUUAUCAAAUCAGAAACCUAUAUGACAACAUUCAAAGGAUAUCAUCACACAAAUAAACUAAUAGAAAUGGAGGAGCCUAGCAGUGCAUACCUCCCUCUGCAGAGCCUCAUCAAUUCUGAAGCGAUAUCAUUAGAAUGCAACUGUGUCGAACAACUGUGCAUCAGGGUAACAUACAAAAAACCAGUAGCUUAGUAUUUGAUUAAAGGAGAGCUAGAACCUAAUGAGCAUACAGAAAGCAUAUUUAAUUUAAAAAAAUACAUUUACAAUCAUUUAGGGAUGUGAUGUUGAGAUCAGAUCAAGUAUUUGAAUAUUCAGAAGCAUCAAAACUUCCUUGGGACACUCUAGUCAGCCCCAAAGUGUCUAUAAGUUUGGCAUGCAAGAUGGUCCUCAGCUGUUGCAGAUGCUUCCUUUGCAAAAUCCCUUUUCUUUAUUUUGAUCGGUCUCAAGUAUGGAAUUUGAAGUUCUUCCGCCCACUUAGCCACACCCAAAUCAGUCAUGUGAUAAAGCAAUUCCAUGACAACAAUAGGAUCAAAUGGGAUACAAACUAAUUAGCAAAUUCUUGAGCUCCUUGUCUCAGCUUGUUUCAUAGACAGGCAAAAAAUUGUCCUUAAUGCAAAAGGUCAUCGAUACAGUUGAUUGAAUUGAAGUCCCAAAUUGAGCCUAGAUCAUUAUAUAGACCAACCAAACCUGUCAUAGAAGCAGCACCAAUUUACCUUGCUUAAUAAUCUUUCAAAACAAUAGUUUGCCUACUGGUAAUGUUAAGGUGGUCAACAUUCAUACAUGACUAAUUAGCCAAAACUACUUUUAACAUUUUUUUGUCACCAACCAGAAACACUUGAACCUUGAAUUUUAUUUUAGCUCAGUUCACCAUAUUUACUUGGAAGUGAUGCUCUUCUUAGAGGGUUAAUGAGGGCCAUCAAGGGAACAAUAAAAAACUUGACAGGGUUUUCGUUCAUCACAGAAAAUCAGAAGGUGUUCAUCCUAAACAGGACAUCUGCCAUUACUCAAAUUUGACAUACAAAAGAACUAAAGGAACUCAAAAUGGCCAAGGAUUUUGAAAAGAAAAUAUGAACUUUGGACACUGGGAAAUUCCGAGCGUAAUAUACAAUACUGCAAUAAUGAGUAGCAGAAGUUCAUUGGCCUCUAGAUGAAAAUUUCAAAUCCCAGGUUUGCCGAUAGGGGAACUGUAAUCACUACGUAAUUCUUGUUUACCUUUGUUGAUAUUUUCAUUCUUGCCUCACAAGCUGCUAUCUGUUUGCAGUCUACAGAAGCGACCAAUGGAAGGAUAAAUGAAAAAUAUUGCUAUAACGUAAUCAACAACAAUUAUACAGAGGCAAAUCCAGAGUUUCCAAAAUGAAUCAAAUAGAUAUCCAGUGUGGAGAAAAUCAUUCUAAAAAAAUAGAGCUUCAAGAAAAGUACUACUCUAUUCGCUCACGUUGGAUGUUUAAGGAUGAAGAAUCUUACUAUGCCUUCUAUUGACAUUUGGGUCUACAUUUUGAUCUUGGCUGAACCAUCAUGUGAGCUUCUAUGACCAACUCCUUCACUCCUUCAAUUGUGCAAGAACAGCAAUUUAGGAAAGUACAGAUUCCUGUCAUAAAAAAAACCUUCUUGUCAAAAGAAGAUAGUGAUGAAAAGGAGGUCAAGUCAUGAAUCUCAGAGGAAAAAUGAUUGUUCAUUGCUUAUUUACCUCUGUUGAAGAAACAUGACUAGUCUCACUGUUGUAAUAUGGGUAAAAGAUUCCUCACAUCAUUAUCACUGCAACAUAAUAUUUCCACAGAGAACUCAAAAUAGUUCCUAAUUUCUAAAGAUGCGCGUUCCAGAUAAUUUCGGUAUUGCUUCCAAUGAGUCACAACCAGAAAUAUCCAAAUAAAUUAAAUUCAACAUUUCAAGUCCCUGAAGCUGAGUAAGUUUCUUGCAGUAUCGAACUGAUAGGGAUCGUAACUUCUCACAUCCCGUCAAAUCUGGCAAAGUCUCCAUUGAUUUGCAACCCCUAAAAUUCAACUUUUCUAAGAACUCUGCACCGUCAAGACCUUCAAAUUUGACUAGAUUGUCGCACUCAGAAGCCUUUAAUUCCUUCAAACACGGUAAUUCUAGACAGCAAAGCCUUUGAAUGGAAUUGCAUUCCACUAAAGAUAUGACCUCCAAGGAAUUGCACUUUUUUAUUGAAAGCUCUUCAAUGUGCGUGAGUCUGUUGAGCGUAAGUGAUGUUAGGUUAUCCCACUCCUCAAAACAGAGUUUUAGUGGUAUUGAGGAAAGCUUGCGGAUGUCUUCAAGUAAAUGGCAUACCUUAAGAUGGAGUUUUUCUAGGUGGUUGACGGCCUUAUGGCUAAGAAGCUGUUGCAGUCCAAGACUCAGACAAGUGACACAUAGAUAUCCUAAGCCCGCAGGAAGCUCUGGCAGCGACCGGAGCUUGUCACAGCCCGAUAGGUCAAGCUGUCGGAGAGACGAAGGAAGCUCUGGCAGCGACCGGAGCUCCUUACAGCGCCCUAGCGUAAGGCUUUGGAGAGAAGAAGGAAGCUCUGGCAGCAACCGGAGCUCCUCACAGCCCCUUAGGUCAAGGUGUGGGAGAGAAGGAAGCUUUGGCAGCGACCGAAGCUCCUUACAGCCCCUUAGGUCAAGGUGUGGGAGAGAAGAAGGAAGCUCUGGCAGUGACCGGAGCUCCUUACAGCCCCAUAAGUCAAGGAUUUGGAGAGAAGAAGGAAGCUCUGGCAGCGACCGGAGCUUCUUACAAUCCCGUAGGACAAGGUGUUGGAGAGAAGAAGGAAGCUCUGGCAGCGACCGGAGCUCCUUACAGCCCCCUAGGUUGCUCCCUAGGUAAAGGCCUUGGAGAGAAGAAGGAAGCUCUGGUAGUGACUGGAGCUUGUAACACCCCCCUAGCUCAAGGCUUUGGAGAGAAGAAGGAAGCUCUGGUAGUGACUGGAGCUUGUAACACCCCCCUAGCUCAAGGCUUUGGAGAGAAGAAGGAAGCUCUGGCGGUGACUGGAGCUUGGCACGACUCCCUAGGUAAAGGUGUUGGAGAGAAACGCUUUUUGGCUCACUGAGAUGCUUUUUUAUAGCAGAACAACUAAAGCCAAGAUAUUGCGAAUCCUGUAAACCCCCAAUUGAGCUGGAGAUUUCUCUCAGUAAGUAACACCAUGAGGCGCUUAGUGUCUUCAGCUUCCUCAGAGAACCAAUAAACAUAGGAAUCUCUGUAAUACUAGUUUCAUCUAAAUAAAGUUCUUCUAAAUCUUUUAAUUCGCCCACCUCCUGUGGUAGCUCCCUGAGAUGCCAACACUGACUCAAAUCUAAGGAAACGAGGCUCGUGAGUUUGCCAAUAGAAGGGUGGAGAUGCUCUAAUUUCUGACAUCCGCUCAAAUUGAGAAUCUUCAACUGUGUGAAAGCCGAAAGAUCAGGAGUACGUCUUAAAUUAUAGCAAUAUCUAAGCUUGAGAACUUUAAGCUGCUUUGAUGUCUAAUAGAAAAGGAGAAUAAGUUGUCAAAGAAUAGGUCGAUCGACUAAACAAAAACAAAACCCUAAAUUCGUUCUUUUCUCAAUCUUACCAUGAUUGACCUCCAUCCUUGCGAAUACUCUCUAAUCGCGCUCCCAAGUAAAUCCAGUAUUGAUAAAUUCGAUAGAUGCAUUGAAGGAGACAAGUCGCUUCGCACGACACUCCACUCAAGCCAUCUCACUUCAGAAAGGAGUUCGUUGUUGGAGGUUCCGCUUGAAGCUGCCCGCAAAUUGUCACGGAAACGGAAACAAGAGAGGUGUCUCCACAAAAUUUUGCGGAACGAGGAGGGGGACCUGGGCGGGAACCAGGCGGGGCGUCCCUGCGAGUUUUUAUAACUUUUUAGUUUUUCUUUUCUUUUCUUAAAUCUUGGAUUUUGCACUAUCUAUAUAACCUUUCUAUCCUUCCCAUGUACAAAUAUGGCUCAUAUUUAAUUUGUUUUGACGACCUUUCUGAAAAUUAAACAAAUGAUGUGAAAAGUUAAAAAAAAAAAAAUGGUUAUUGCUCUAAAGCAACUAAGGUAAAGGCAACUCAAUGUUUUAUCUUUUCCUUUUUUCUUUUAAAUUUUGUAGCGCAUGCACUUUGACUUUUAUUUAAUUCGAAAUAUAUGAAACCAUUUUACAACAUACAAAUGUUUACUUGUAAAUUUUCAUGACUUUUGUAUAAUUUUUCAAAAGAAUUUGUUGAAGAGUGCCGGUGGGCCACCCGUAAGUAGCUACGGAAACACCCGGUUUUCAGUUCAUUAUUUAAAUGUAAUAAUGCCGAAGAGAAAAUAUGGGAAAUUUUCAAUAUAUUUCCAUAUAUAGAAAAGAUUAUACGGAGAGUCUAUCUAUAAUUUUUAUUAUAGAAUUGUCUAAGAAAAUCAAAGAAAAUCAAACUAGAUAUGCAUAAUCAAAAUAAAUAUAGAAAAUUAGAGAAAAUUAUUCUAAAUAUCUCUAGAAGAUAUCUACAUAUCUUUAACAUCAUUUACUAUUGUUCUAAAGUGUUUAAUCAUUUGUUUGAAAACUUAAACGCUUUUUUUUUUGUUAAGUACGUUUAAAAAGUGACGUGUUGAUAUUGGACAAUAGUGUAUAAAUUAUAUCAUGAGGCAGCCCAAAUGGACAAUAUAUAAUAAUAAAAUGACAUGAGCAUCAUUAUACUCAAAGGUAUGGAUAUAAUAAUAAGUAUGGCAUUUCCUCUAAUUAGUCAAGUUUUCAUGGAUUUUUUUAUGAGAAAUAGUUGUAUGUGUUACAAGUAACUUAUAGCGGAUACAAAUUUUUGUUAUAAGAAAAUCCACUCUUUAUCAUACAUCUAACCUAAUCCAUGAAAUGAGAAAGGUCAACGUGAUAAAACCUUAAAAAAUAGUAAGAUUUUCCUAAAAAUACUUUUAAGGGGAUUUUUGCUGUCUUAUCUAUUAAAAGGAGAUGAUAAUUAAAAGAGAUAAAUAUAACUAGUAGAGUAAAGGGAUGCGUAUCUUCAAAAUCAAAUUGGAGAAAAAAAAUAUUAAACAUUGUACUCCUAAAUCAUAGGACUACCACCAAUACAUCUGGCCGUACCAAUAAGGAAGAACUAUGUGAUAAGUGUGAAAUUUUUUCCAAUCUUAUUGUUUUGAAUUAAUUAUCAGUUAUUAUAAUUGGCACAUGCUAUCUUUUUUUUUUUUUUUCAAUCAAGAAAUAUUCAUUUAUCUGAUCUAUGAUGUUUAUACUUCAUCUUCAUUCAUUAUUGUAGUCUUUAGAUUAUCAAUAUUUUCAACUAGAUAUGACAAUUACAUGCUUUUAGUAAAUAAGAUUUAUAGUGUAAAAUUGUAGUUAAAGGAACUUAAAUCGAUUGUUAAUCAAAUCUUUACAGAUGUAAUUUAUAUCAAUGAAAUUGAAUCAAAUGGUAUAUCGUUCUCAUCCUUUAAAUACUUACAAUCCAUUUAGCUAUCACAAAUAAUCUAAGAUGGACAUAAAUGGAUGUUUAUAUAGAUCUUUCUUCCUAAAAAGUAAGAGCAUCUAUUCAUCGUAGAUGAAACAUUAGAAUAGAUCAAACUAAAUAUAUUAAAACAAGAGGGAAAGAAAAAGAAAGGAGUGCCAUAUUUUACCUGUGCAUAGACUCUUAGUACUUUUGGGACUCCCUCGUAGUCAUCAUCCCAUGGUCCACUACGUUUCUCAAGUGGUUGUCCUUGGCAAAAAAUGCUCCUUCCAAGAUCUCUUAGUUGAUCAUGCACUAGAAAUUCACCAUAAUAUCCAAUUUUAAUUAAGCACCUCAACUUCAACUCUUCAAUACCUUGACUUGGAUAAAACCCACAGUCCUCCCACAUGUACAUGGCAUAUUCGCUCGUUUUGCUAAUAAAGUAACAAACAAUAUCAAGAAAAAUCUGUUUUUGUUCAUCUUCUAAUGCAUCAUAACUUAUUUGCAAUAACUUUUGGACAUCUCUAUGUGGUUGGUUUUUACAUUUCUUCUUCACAUCUUCCCAUACUUUUCGAUUUUUUUUAUACAAGUAAGAACCUACAACUUGAAGAGCCAAGGGAAGCCCACCCAUGUUGGAUAUGAUGUCACGAGAUAUACCCUCAAACUCCCUCGGAGAAUGGUUCAUACGAAAUGCAUGUCUGUUAAACAAAAGCAAAGCUUGCACCUUAUCCAAUUCAUUCAAUUCAUACUUGUAGUCUACCUCAAAUUUAGAUUGAUCAAGAAUAGCUUCGUUUCUAGUUGUAACAAUGAUCACACUUCCUGCCAUAAACCAAUCACGCUCCCUAGCCAACGCAUCUAGUUGACUCUUGUCAUCUAUAUCAUCCAAAAGAAUGAGAACCUUUUUCCUUUUGAAUCUAGAUUGAAUUAUACUAAUUCCAUCAUCAAUUCUAGACACUUGACUUUUGCUUUGUAGUAUAUCCGAUAUUAGUUGACUCUGCAGAUAUGUAAUACCGUGGCGCCUGGUAGUUUCUCGAACAUCUAGAAGGAAGCUGACAUGCACAAAUCUAUUUGAGAGUUGAUUGUAGAUGCACUUGGCAAGAGUUGUCUUGCCUAUCCCGCCCAUGCCAUAAAUUCCAAUCAUUCGAGCAUUGAUGGAAGGAUUGUCGAUCCAAUUCAUAAUUUCCUUCAUAUGAUCAUCAAGUCCAACUAGUUGUUCAGGCACAUUCAGCUGAAAAUCUUCCCGUAACUUGCUUAUAACAAUUUUAACCACAUGUUCUAUUAAUUUUCCCUCAUGCCUGUCAAACAACAAAAACAAUGAGAAGUCAUGAACCUAGACAUAGUUUAUGUGAAGUAUUCUAUCCUUAUCAAUUGAGCUAACCCUUGUUGGCUAUAGGAGCUCGAUUUUAUCUAGUGGUGAUCGAGCUUUGAAGAUCAAGCAUUGGAGUCAUUAGGAGGCCUAUUGUUUAGUGAUUGAUACUAUUGGCUAGAGGUAUCGUCGUUUCUUUGUUUUUUUCGCUCUAUACCGGAGGGAAAUGUAAAUUCUUGGGCACUAUGGGAUGCUUUAGUUUUAGUCAUCGUUGGUUUAGUUUUAAGGGGCAUCUUUGGGCAUACUGGUGUUUGUUGUCUUAGAGGCAUUACGGCUAUUUAUUUUGGGGAUCUUUUCUAAGCUUACAGUAAAAGUAGUUCAUCUGCAUUUCCUCAACUCUGCGUGAAGAAGAAAACUUAUCAAAAAAGAAAAGUUCAGUAAAGUACCCAUUCGCAAUUUUCUGAGAUUCCCAUCCAAUUAAGUGACUAACUUCAUUAAGUGCUCGUUGCCCCUCUUGGAUAUCCUUCUCAUCAAAAUGUUCCUGACUUGAAUGAAAGGCAUUUCCAAAAUUUCCUUUUAGAUGCCGCACAUCGGAUGGGGAAACUUUGUAAAAUAUAGGCAACACUAUGUGUGACACGCUCUUCUUACAUUGCAUGAUAUGAACGAGUUCGCAGAGGCACCAUUUGCUCGAAGCAUAAUUUUCGGAGAUGAUGGGGAUCGAAAUCUUAGACCUUGCAAUGGCAUUGAGAAUCUCUGAACCGAAUUCCUCACCAAUUGGGAUGCUGUUCUCGUCCCUGAACACGCAAAGCGGUAUCGUCCCUGCUUUGAUUAGACUGUGAUAGAGGUGAUCAGUGAAAGUAUUGCGGGUAUCCGAGCCUCUAAAGCUCAAGAACACGUCAUAUUGACCGCUACCUACACCUGUGACUUCUGGAGAGAUGAAUGAAGAAGUGGAUGCUCCUUCAGUGCUCUCUUCCUCUGCCUUCUUUUCCUUUCCCUGACUCUGCCCUCUGUCCAUGGUGAUCUAAGGGGGAAAGUUGAAAAGAAAGAUCCUUUUUUGGCUGCUUAAAAGGAUUGUUGAACAACGAAAGGCGCUUUUAGAAUGCUUUUCUGCAAAUGCUUGUUGGCUCCGAAUAACGUGUUCGUUAAUUCCCUAGGUAAUAAAGACACGACCUUCAGUUAAGUAAGCUACAUCAUUUCACUGCAGAAGAUUAGGUGGCCCUGAAGAGGCCCCCAAAAAGCCCACAUCAUUUACUUGUUAAGAAACAUAAAUUUGAAAUUAAACAAAAUACAUUGUAAUUAAUCGACUUCCCUAAAACAUAUUUGAAACAAUUACAUAACUUCACGCAUGUGUAUGAUAUUUGAAGGUGAAUUCUUUCAUUUCAAGGUAAGAUAUUGAAAUUAUGUAGGUAACUCCAUGGAAGCAUCUUCCUCUGGAUAUAUGCUCACACGAUGCCUAAUCCUUGUCAUAAUCUUCGACCUUGCUAUUAUUAUUUUUAUCCUAAUACAUAAACAACCCUAACUAUCUCCACCACCUCAUUUUUCACAACCCCUUCUAUGUAUUCCCAUGUCCAUUGGCCAAACUAAUGAAGUGUCACGUAAUUGUUGCCCAAUAAACCAGAUCCUCCAGAUGUGUGCACUUUCCUAAUUGGAGGUAAUUUCCAUUAUUCAUGUUUUUAAUUUGGUGGGUUUCGAGUUUUAGGCAUUGCUCAUAUGUAAAAUUAACUAAAUCUAAAACAUUAAUCAAGGAAAAAUUUUCAAUUGAUCAAUUGUUUUGAUUACGAAGGAAGUCGAUGAAAAUGAUUCUAAAUUAAAGAAAAAUACUUCCUUUUGGGCCCACAUUUUAUUUCUUUCUAAAAGUGCAUAGAAAUGAGAGGAAAUGUGAAAAUUGCACAUUUCUUCGAAUUGGCCUUACUUCCUUUUUAAGGAUGAAUAGAAUGAAUGAUAAUUAAGUCUAUAAAUAAAAUUAAGUUCCAUUAACAUCAUUUCCACCCAACAUGCAUCCUAACAUUUUUCGAGGACUUUUAACUUAUUUCUCCAAGCAAACUCGAGCUUCUCCAACAAGCUGAUACGCUCUUCUCUCUUCAAAUGGCUCGGAACAAGGUACUCUCCCUCUUACUUAACUUCAAUCAAUCUUAGACUGUCUUUGUUCUCCUUCCCUCCCUCCCUCUUUUCUCUUUUUGUGUGAAUGUUGCUUCUCUAUUCGUAUCGGGUUGUUUGCUUCACUUCUUUGAUGUUUUCAUUCAAAUUUUGUGAUUUCAUAUUUUAAUUUUAUUUAAAAUUGUCAUAUUCUUAAUGAUGUUGGAAAUGCAAGGUAGAGAUGAACAAAUGGUCGUUGUCAUUUCUCUCUUAUUUAUUUCGCGUUGGCCCCAAAUGCCAAUAAUUUUAUAUAAGAUGAAUCUAUGAUAUGAUGUUACCAAGCUAUUCACUUCAAACUUUCAAAUUUAAAUUAUUGAUUGAUAAAUUGUCUACAAAAUAGAGUUAUAAUUCGUUAAAUGACACCAAAUGAUCAUAACGCCUUAGUAUUAAGUUACUAAUGAUAUAUGAAAUACUCGUACACUGUCCUUGAGUUCUUUUCUGGGUCAUUUUUUUAUUACAAUUUUGUUGGCAUAUCAUUCAACUCUUGAAAAGUCAGUAAAACAGUGAUAAAAGAAGUAUGCGAAAUAUUCAAAAAAUAAAAGACAAUUUAGGAAAAAGCAUAGAAAAGAAGGGAAUGAAGUGUCCAGGCUUACUUUUAGAAGGAAGCAGUGAUAUUUAGAGGUAAUGUCCAAAAGCAUUUUGAAUUAUGAAUUCACAACACAUAGAAACUUUCAUGAACAUGAAUUGAAAGUAAAAAGGGGAAUGAAAGAUGUAUGGAAAUUUGAGGGCGAAAGUUGGAACAAAAAGAUGCAUUUUUGCGCAUAAAAAGGAUCGAUGAACUAAUCUCUAUGAACAAUAAUGAACAUAAAUCUGUUACCACAUAAGGAAAAACGAACAUGAAAUCUUUAAUUAAUUGGUAAUUGAUUGACUAGGAGCAGUUGCAUAUGCUUUUAGCCCUUGCGUUAUCUUCUUUUGGACCUCACACUAUUGAAGUCAAACUUGUUGGCUUGAUCCAUCCACGAGUACCGAGUACAUCAAUUUUUCAAUUGGGCUAUAAAGAACUAGAAUCUGUGUACAAGUAUAUUGCAUUCAAUUAAGAAUAUAAGUAUACGUUUGAUCUUUAUUUGGUUAUUGAAACUCAGAAUUUGAUAAAUCAUUUAAAAGAUAAUAAUUGAGUUGAAACGGAAUUAGAAAUGUGUGAAAGACUUCAAGAAAGGACCAAGCUAGUAAUUGUGGAUGUGAUUUUAUAUUUUAAUUUUGUUUGAUAAUGUCAGUUGGAAAUGUGAGGUAAAGAUAAACAAAUGGUACCGUGGUUAUUUAUCUUUUGUCCAUUUCACGCUGGAACCACAUGCUACAAUUCCAUGUAAAAUGAAUUUAUUUUGAAUUAGUAUGCUAUCACCGAGCCUUUCAAUUCAAAUUUUCAAAUCUAAAAAGUUGAUUGAUAUCUUGUCUAUAAAAUAGAGCUAUUAUAUGGCACCAAACAGAGGAGCGGAUGCUCCCUUAGUGCUCUCUUUUUUCUUCUUAUUGAGAUUAUUGAAUGUGGUUAUUUAUCUUUUAUCUAUUUCAUGCUAGCACCACUUGCUACAAUUCCAAUGAAUUUAUUUCAAAUGAGUAUGCUAUCACUGAGCCUUUCAUUUCAAAAUUUCAAAUCUAUAAAGUUGAUUGAUAUCUUGUCUAUAAAAUAGAGCUAUAAUUUGUUAGAUGGCACCAAACAUAGGAGUGGAUGCUCCGUUAGUGCUCUCUUUUUAUGCACUAUUUUUUCUUCUUAUUGAGAUUAUGAAUACAAGCAUAAAGACACAAGAAGCACCGCAAAGGAACGACCUGAAAUGGAAGUAGAAUACGAUAAUUGGCUAAAUUUGUGAUAAUGCAGGUAAAAUUGAUUAAUCACAUUUUGAAGAACGAAUUGAUUGUUUGAAAAGAAAGAGGUGUAAGAAAUGAGUGAUAUAAAGCUAGGUGACUCUCCUAAUAUGUGUGUAUGGCCCAAUUUAUUCGAUUGUUUUCAUGAGUGUGUCAUAAGAUUGAUUUAUAUUUUUUUUUUCUUACUAUUGGAUAUCAUGUAAAAGAUCUUAGGAAGAAUCAUACUAUGGACUUUGGUAUGUUUUAUAUUGCGAUGAUUGAAAUUGUCAUGAGUUGUGAGCAAGUAAAAAGUAGCAAUAUAGUUAAAAUGCUCAAACUCUCACCGUACUUUUUAAUUCCUCAUUUACUUUUCUUUUUUUCAAGUAAAGACUCAGUCAAUUUUUGAAGCUUUGAAGUGAGAAAAUGAUUUCUUUUUCUUUUUUCUUGCUAAAGAAGGGAGAAAAUGAAUCAGAGGUGAAAGCGAAUAUACUUUCUAGGAUUAAUGGUCCAACAAUUUGAGUAAAAUAGGAUAUUACUCAUUUGGAAUGUUCUAGAGGGAGGUAAAAUUAUUGAAUGAAGUCUCCUUAAGAGAAGACUUACUCUUAGGAUGAUUGGUUUUAGGAUAAAUGGGUUCUAAACAAAGAAUUAGGAACUUAUUACGUAAUGAUUGGUUCCCCUCUAUUAUAAGUUUAUAACCGAUAACCAAACUAGUUGACCCAGGACCAGCCCAUUUUUAUUUUUCUGAUUUAUUUUUCCAUAAAUUGAUCUAGGUUCUUCAAACAUAGAGAAACCUCACAAUGCAUAAAAAAAUAGAAUGGUCUAUGAAUUCAACCGAAAUGUGGCAAAUUUGCGUGCAACAGAGUCUAGUGCACUUACAGACCCACUUGCUCUAGUUCAACAAAAGAUCAGUACUAAAUUAUGAUGCAACUAAGAAUCAUAUAGGAAGGCCAUCAUAGGAUUAGCCACAUUUAAAGUUGAAAACAAAAGGCUUUCCUUUUUUCACUGAAGUCAAAUCUAAGCUGGGGACAUACCUCGUCAAUAGGCAGCAGCGACUCCAAAAGAGAGAAUAGAAGACCCUCCUCUGCUAUUCAACAACCACCCCCACAUCCUCAAUAGACAAAACGGGCCCAGAGCACACUUAGUUCAGCCGAUUAUUCCAAUAAUAAAGUGACAAAAUCAAAAUAAACUAGAUGCUAAUAAGAGAUGAAAAAGUAUUACCACAAGCGAGCUGAGAUGCGAAGAGAGGCACGGGAUCGGAGAGAGAGGAGACCGUAAACAAGCCUGGGCGAGAACUUUCAAGAGGGAUAAAGAGCGAGUGUGGACUAAUCGGUAGAUGAUACUCUCGAAUUGUUCUGCAAGAGAGAAUGCGAAUGAUAAGGUGAGAAAUGAGAGAGAGAGAGAGAGAGGACCGAUUAGUAGUAGGCGAUAGUCUCGAAUUAUUAUUGAUGAACCGAUAUCCUCAUAUGGAUGAUUGACUAGUAGCAACAAAAUUGUUUUCUGGUGGCAAGCUACGUCAAGCCACACAAUAUGGACCAGAGUACGGAAUGACCACUUCUGCUCAUAUCUACUUAGAGUUGUUAAACUAAUAAAUGUGGCUCUAACCGACAUGUGAAUCUUCCGUUAUAUUAUUUUCAAAGACAUUCUUACUUCUGUAAAUGCUAAAUUAUCCUCCCACCCUGAACAUGCAUAAAUCAUAUUGUCAAAUCCAUUGUAAGUCAGUAAUUUCCUACACUAUAUAUAUUUAAAAGUCAUGUCUUUGCUCUAAGCAGUAAAAUCGCAUGAAAACCACACUUUAUGAUGAGUUUUUCUAAUUCAAUCCGUAAAAAGAAAGUCCACCUAAAAAUUGUCCACAUAUUAAAUAUGUGUAAGUACGAUGAAAGCAGCAGCUUUGCUCACUUUCAAGUUUUCCAUUGUAACCAGCACAAAAAAUGGUACAAUUGUGAAUUUUUCAUAAUUUAUGAAAGACGUUUGAAUUUUCUAUCAUUUUUCCAGAAAUUACGGAAAUUGCUGAUAAAAUGAAAAAUGGUAUUAUGGACAUCCAAAAAUUCUUUGGUUGAUAUGACCUGUUCGAAAUUUUUUUUGUUGUUGAUAAUUCUCAUCCAUAGCCUGUGAAAGGUUUUGUGCGAUUAUAGAAGGAAAUAGACUAGCACCAUUGAUAUUUGGAAAAAUAUAGUUUUUUAAAUAUUUUCAAGAAAAAAAGAUAUAUUUUCACAAAAACCGAGUAUUUUGGAUCUUUCAUGCUUUAAGUAAUUGUGGACAAUUGCUAUAUGUAUAAGGCCAAUGAACCCAAAUUGAGUCUAGAAGGGUAUUUUCGCAAUUUUCAUCAAGUAGGCUUUUGUGUCCCGAGAGUUCAGUCAACCAUUAAUGUUUUGAAAACAACGUCAAAGAUAAGGGCCAGCAUGUGAUUCCACCAUAUUCAACCGGUCUAACUGUUCACAACGGUUUUUUUUUUUUCUAGGUUCAAAAUAACCAAUUAGUUUAAAUGAGAAGAUUUUAAUAAGAAAAAUUAGUAAUAUAUAUGAUGAUGAUUUUGAAAAAAUCGAGGGAGUUUCACAAGAAAUAUUUUGUAUGCCUUAAAGGAUGCUAGGCGUUAGGCCAUGAGUAAUAAUCGAAUAUAUUUUUGUCCUAUCAAUUGUACCAGACGGGAGAAUGAAGGUCAAGCUUACCUCGAGGAGCAAUGCAUAGAUGAAAUUACUGUGAUGGGUGUUUGAGAAGAAGUCGCCUUGAAGUAGAUCAAGUUGUAUUCGAGUUUCGAAAGACAGUACAAUUCGAGGAUCACCUUCACACCUUAGCCUAGAGCUAUCAAACCAAAUAUAUCUCAAAACAAAAAUGAGAGUCUCAAUGAUUUAUGGUGAUUGGUGUUUCUCCUCUUCAAGCACAAGCACUUGGGACUUUAAAUAAAGCUUUACUUCUUCUCUUGCCCCAAAGGAGACGCGUAAUCUUGUGGUAGAUGGCUUAUCUUAGAGGAGGCAAUUGUACUUCUUUUGAUUCUAACCUUUUUGACCGAGACCACCAAAACAAUCCCUUCCUAGAAAUUGGCAAGACGACCCCUGUAGCCUUUACUUGUUAGUUUUUUUGUUAUUGGAUCCCGUGGCCAACAAAUCACAGUGAAAAUUACCUUUUUGAAGAUAGGCGAUACUUUUUGCUUUAUCCUCACCUUUUGACAAUGGCUCCGCGUGGCCACUCAAAUUAUUGAUAGACGAGCACCCAUAUUGCCAAUUGACGUAGCAAUUAGAUUGUAAUUGGACCGUGUGGCCACUCAAAUCAAAUUGAAGAUGGGUGAUACUUUUUGCUUUAUCCUCACCCUUUGCUUUACCCGCCCCAUCAACCAAUGACCAGAUACUUUUAUGUUGGAGUCAAGGUGUUCACAAUGGAAAUUAGUUUUCACAUGAUGCUAUUUCAAAAGAGCUCCGCAGUCAUGUCCUUUAAUUAGCAACCUGCCCCAUCGACUAAUGACUAGAUACUUUUACGUUGGAAUCAAGGCGUUCACAAUGGAAAUUAGUUUUCACAUUAUGCUAUUUCAAAAAAGCCCCCGCAAUCAUCUCCUUUAAUCGGCAACUUUUGGAAGGUGCUCAUAUUGGAAAUUACUUCUUUUCUUGCGUCAAAAGAUCAGCUAGAUGUGCUUGGGAUACAAACAAUCCUAUCGUGGAUUUGCACGUCUUCAAUAAGGAAAUUUACUUCUUUAGCUGACUCUCACCUUUUGUUAGUUCUCUUUGUAAUGGGAUCACAUGGCCCCGCAAAUCAAAGUGAAGAUUGACAACAUUUUGCUUUCGAGGUAAAUAUAAUACAAGUGCCAAAAUUUUUGUACAACACUCACUUUGAUGCCAAAACAGUUGUUGAGAGCACUCCUUGGCCAUUGGGCAAGGGCUGCGAGUCCUUGCUAGCCGUACCGCACAAAACAGUUGUUGUCCACAUCAAUAAUUUUCAGCUGAAAUUGGCCGAAUUUACUACAUUGAUAAAUUGUCAAAAGUUGAUGACUAAAUUGGUCGAAUUAAAACGUUCAAGACUGAAUUGACACAAAUAUAAUAGAUUUAUGACAUUUUUUAUAAUUUUUUUUUCAUUAAAUCACAUGGAAACCACACUCAAUGAUGAGUUUCUUUGAUCCAAUCCACAAAGAUCUUCCUAGAAAUUUCCUACACAUUAAACUAUUUUAGAAUGAAAGAAGGCCACCUUCCUCCCAUGAAGUUCAUGAUGGGUUCUAGAAAAGAAAUAAUACAUCCGGGACCAUCUCAUGGUUAGAACAUGGUUAGAACAGUAAACAAUAGAGCAUUUUAAUUAAAUCUUUAAAAUUGAUUUGUGGACGAAGAAUUUUAACCAAACUAAAUUAGUGGAAGACUGGAGGGACGUUGUUGGUAUUCACAACUAAUGACGGAUUUCAACUGCAAUUUUCAGAUAUAGUAAUAACACAAAAAAAAAAAGGACAUGAACAGACCCAAAAUGGCGUGCCACUCUAAGUCAAGAAUGGUGGGUGCCUUCUUUUUCAAAAGGGUCUCAUGCAAUCAUACAAACCACACAAAGAUUAACCUUUAUUGCGAUGGGAUUUAACUAGUUAGUAAUAGAGGGACACGGAGCAGUUUACAGAUGCUUUCAGUCCUUGCCUUUAUCUUCUUUAAGACCUCACCCUCUAGUCAAGUCAAACCUGUUGGUUUGGUCCACUUCCGAUUAACGUGUACGUUAAUUUCUAAGUUGCAUUAUAAAAGAACUAGAAUAUAUUUUCAAACAUAUUCCGUUCGUUUAAAAAUAUAAACACGAAUUUGGUUGUUAUUUUGGUUAUUGAAGAACAGAAUUUCAUAAAUCAUAUCGAGUUAAAAAUGGAUUUGGAAAUGGCCGGAAGACAUGAAGAAAGAAUCUUAUGUGUAUCUGAGCCUCUAAAGCUCAAGAAUACAUCAGGGAAUCAUUUUCCCUUUCCUGUUGUUUUCUACAUUUGUGUCGCUUCCACUCUUUUUCCUCUUCUUGAGGAGAUUACAACCUAACCCAAAUCAAAUAAUUGGUGCCGCAAGCACCAUAGAAGAACGCCCUAAAAUGAACUGAUGCAUUCUCUGUUUGAUCUGCUUUGGGUCUUUCCUUUGUUUGAAAUACUCACGCUCGACUUGACUACUUGUGAAGAAAAGUCCUGAAAUUGAUACAUAUGCACUGUGUGGAAAUUAAUAGGUAAUUUACGAAUGUCAAAUAAGAAUCGCCAUUACUUAGAUGGGAUCCGGUCUAAUUUUCCCUUCUCAUCUAGUUUUUGUCGAUUGUUUGACCGAUGCCAAUCUUUGUUGGAAAUCCCCCCUUCCCCUGGGGGGUUGGAAAUGCUAUUUUUCCAAAAUUGGUAAAUCAUUCCAUUGAAAUAUAUAUAAGGGUAAAAAUGUAACUAAGAAACUAUAUUACUUCGCCAAUAUUUUCUUUUUGCUGAUGCACAGCAAAAGAUGGAAGAAAUUUGAGAUACUUCUCAUAGAUCUAUACCUUUAGUACGACACGCAAGUCUUCUUUUUGCAAAGGAGCCUUCACACAUAGUCCUAUCUACCGUGGUCAACAAUGACUCAAAUCCAGAAAAAUAAAAAUAAAAAGAACAAGGGUGUAAAAUGAAGCCAAAAGAACUUACAGGAAGGCAAAAUAGAGCUUAGACAAACUUCAAGUACGAAAAUGGAAUUUCCAAAAAAAUUGAAAAGAAUAUGGCUCUAAUCUCUCCCAUUCUCCAGCAUAUAUAAAAGUAAAAAGGAAAAACAUUAAUCUCGCCAUCACUUAGAAGGUUUUUCGAAAAGAGCACUUCGAGCACACGCUUUUAGCAAAGACUAGUGAUCAAUUCGAUUCCGACUUAUGCACCAUCGAUCAAUCGAACAGGUUGACUUCCAUGGAGUAUUGGGGCUUGGAGGUAGAGAAAGCUCGAUUACUGAACUUGGUGCUCGAGUUCGGCUUCGACAAGUAGUCCACCAAUAGGUGCUUAGACUGUCUCGUUUCGCUCCACAGUACUUGAAUUAUUAUUUUGUCACACAUUUUUUGUGCUAGUCAACUUUGCAGAUAUUAUGUAGAUAUUUCUUGUCCAGGGUCAAAUUGGUCUUGGUUUAUUUUUUAAUAAAUCGGAAUUGGUACAGCGAAGUAAUCUUGCCGAUGAGCAAAAUGUUUGGUACUAUUUCAGUUUGAUUGUAUUUAGGUUGCUUUGGACGGUGGUUUUUCUUGGUUAUUAGCCGAAUUGCAUCCUAAUGGACACUUAGAUGUCAAAAAUACUCACUUUAUAUUAACUUAAUGCAUCACGUGAUACACCCUCACGUGAAAAACCUUCAUUCCAUCACAUCAUUACUCUCUUUCUUUCCACCACUCCCCCUUCCCCACCAUUGCCAAUUAAUAUCACCAGCCUACGGUCACUCCCCCGACCAGCACCAACGACGCCGUCCACAACUUGGCCCCCGUCUGUCUACAUCUCUCUCUCUCUCUCUCUCUCUCUCUCUCUCUCUUCUUUGUCAUGUUUUGCUCAAAGUUGCAAUAACGCUUGACUAGAUCUAGUGUCGCAUUUGAGUAACUCUAGCAUGCAUCGAGUUAGACGCGGCAUUGGAGCUCAAUUAGAUAUAAUGUCGAGCAUAUGAGGACUCAUAACUCAAGUAUAAAUAUGUUGCAACAACCUAGCGCGAUGCCAAAUUAGGUCAUUGGAAUAUUUCUCCUUACAUAGCAUAUUCAUGUCGGUAUUUGCAUUUUGCAAAAGAAAUCUUUAUUAUGAAGAAAAGACUUUUUCAAAGAUUCUAUCAAUUUUUGUAUGAAACCGAAUUAAUUACCUUCAAGAAAAUUCUUUGAUGAGGGAAAGCAAGUCAAAGUCUUCCACCAUCCUGCUUGGUUAGCUGCAAAGAAAGCAGUUUGGUGAGGAAAAGUAAAUCAAAGUCUUCCACCAUCUUGCUCGGUUAAUUGCAAAGAAAGCAGUAAGGCAAAAGCCAACAAGACCUACUCAAAAGAAAGGGGGAAAAGGAUUGGCGAGAAGUCCAAGUCUUCCACUAUCUUGCUUGCCAGUUGCCAAGAAAGGGACAAGGUAAAAGCCGACAAGACCCACUCAAAAGAAAAGUGGGAAAAAGAUUCUAGCGAUUGAGAGCAAGUCAAAGUUUUCGGCUAUCUUUCUUGGUUAGUUGCACUGGGAGACUAGAGACCAUUAAAAUAUUGUAUAAAUAUAAUUUAUAAAUGAUGCAACGGAGAAAAUUAAUCACAACAUAAUAAUUGUACUGAAAUUUGUAUUUUACAAUGAAGCUUUGUAUGGGGUUUGCAUAGUUUCUCUUAAGUGUUUUAAUAAAAUCUACAUGUCCCACAAUAUUACGUAAAUACGCUACACAUGAAAAUCUUCAAUUUGCCUAUUGACUCCAAAUAACUCAUAUUGAUCUAAUAGCAUAAGUGGUAAUAUUAUUGUUCCAUAAUUAUACUCAUUUUCCUUUAAAUUGACAAGAGUGAGCCCAAAUAGAUUAUGGUCCAUAAAUGUAAACACACGAAUAUACGAUACAUGUAAUCCUAAAGCUAGUCCGUCAUCAAGUAUUUGAGGUGAGUUGAAAUUGAUAUGUGAAAGCUAUCUGUUACUUACCAUAGCGAAGAUUAGCUACCUGAUGAAGUUUGUCAAAUUUUCAUCUUUACUCGAAUUCAUAAAAUCCAUUUUCUUCUCCCCUGCUUGCUUUGCUUAUGUUAUUCGUGAUUUUUUUAUUUUUUUUUAGAUUUGAAUUAAAUCCAUCACUUUUGUGGCUCUAGAUUCAAUUUAGCACAUAUAUUAAAUUUACGGAAUAAUUCCUCCAUAUCACGAGAGGGCUAUUAAAGGAGUAACAUGUAAAACUAGUAGGAUUUUUGCCUUAUGUUGAGGGUGAAACCUGUCAUUUUCUGGCUUAACAAAUUUUGGACCUUUAGACUGAUCAGGGAUAAUCUGAUUUAGCCGGCUUUUAUUGGAUACAAACCAUCUGAAUUAAAGGUAACUCUAUGCUCUCUAAGUGUAUUCCAGAGCAAUAUUAAGAUAAACGGAAUAACAUUGGAUCUUUGACUCUUCCUUCUUUCAUCCAUUGACUGAGAUGAGACAUCAACGACCUAAAAUGGUAAAGAACAAAAAGGAAUAUAUUCAUUCAAAACCAUCAUCUUAGCACUACUAAAUUUAAGACUUCGAAAAGAGGUUAAAAAUCUUGGGUUCUACUGCGCAAUGAACAAAAGCAAAGGAUCAACGCAUGAAGAGAAUAAAGAUUGUUUACCUUCACCAGCCAAAAGAUUGAAGGGUCGACAGCAAAAUGCAAGAAAGAAAUCCAGAAGAAACCAUACGAGACCAUUUAUAAUUUAUAAGCAUAUACUGUCCUGGAAACAAUAUGCGUCCCAUUACAGGAAGGGCUGAAAGAUUGUCUUCAAUACAAAAUAACUGUAGUCAUAUGUCAUCUUUUUAACAUGUAAAAACAACAAUUUCUUUUAGCAAAAUUUGCCAACCCUAUCAUGAAGCGAAUGGUAUCUGAAAAGCACGUCACUCUCAAAUGUACUUUUCAUGCACAUGGCAAGAUGUUACGUGUUGCUCUAUGUCGCGACACUGAAAAAUUGACUUGAUCUCAACAUGAAAUUAGCAAUCUUGCCAAAAUGAACUCAUGUCAAAAGGUUAAGGACACAACUAGUAAAAUUAAAAAAAAAAUUAAUACUAAAUUGGCAAAUUGUUAAAAGGCUUAGGGCUUUUUAGACAAUUUUUCGAGAAAGAUAAGGGAGAAGAAGAUCAAAAACUCCACAAAUUAGAAAGAUGCAAGCUAACGAGGACAUAUAAGGGAUCACAUUACCGUCAUCCACUAAUCAUAUGUUAAAGACAUCCAAAUGUCAUUAGAAUCAGCGACAAUUGUCUUAUUAGGCAAUACUAACAUUUCGGCCUUCUCAUUGUUCACAUGAAGAGCACAGCGAAUCAUAAUGAAACAAGAGAAAGCAAUGUACAAUGAUAUACUCUUUAGUCAGUCAUCGAAUGUGUCCAGCAAAACCAUUUAUGGCUCCGUUGCCUCCAAAAUCAUAUCACCAAGCUUUGUAUCUUCAAGCUAACUUUGAAAGGUAGUCGCAUAUCACUUCUUUUAGGAACACUAUUGGGGAAAUUGAACAUGUGACCAUCCAAAGGAUCAAGCAUUCCCUUGCGGUGAUAUUAUAUCCAGCAAUCUGGUCAUCCAAUUUGGGCAAACUAGGCGAUGUUGGAAAGCUCUUGCAAUGCACAACUCAAUUAUAGCGAUCAAUCAUAAUAUUAGCAGGGUUAACUUUUGAUCAAAAUCAAAGUCGAAACUCAGUGACAAAAAGUAGGUAUCCUCAAGGUCAACAGUCUUUAGUGAAAUAAUAAAAUUGAUUCACGUCCAAUAUGUGUUUGGAUUGAGGUAAGGGAAAGAAAAUGGGGGGCAGUAAUAAUCUAGGGUCUUUCUUUAGAGGCGGAGCUGUUGGAGAAAUCUUUCCAGAAUAUUUUGAAGCUGACAAAACGUUUCUAUCAGUCUAGUCUGGAUAUUUGCAGACCGUCUGUUUAAAGUCUGAAGACUUUCUGAUCACCAGACUCAGCACUCAAGACUCAAGACUUAAGACUCAAGACUAUUCUCAUUGACAGUCUUUCUGAUCCAGUGACGAAGGAAAUCCAGAGCCGAAGUAUAUGGUUGAGGAUUUAAUCCUAUCCUCUGGAGAAGAUCUCUUGGUUGGAUAAAUAUAACGGAUUCAUUUAUUCGUAUCUAGAUCGAUUGAAGAUCCGGUGUCGACGAAAUAUUCUUGGAAGGUUCUAUUCUUGGAAACCAAGAUCCUGAUUGUAUGGGCGAACAUGAUUGAUGGGCUAUCGUUAGGUUCCUUUAAUAGCUCGAAUGAUCUUCUUAAUUGAUUCCGUCCAACGGGUAGACUGGAGGAAUUCCUUUGGUAAGUGCCAACGGGUAUGAUGGCAUAAAGGAGUAUAAAAGGAAGACGUUCCAGUUGUUUUAGUGUGUGAUCGAUAGAGAAAUUCCAGAGUCUGAAGCACUUUGAUUAUUAGUCGAUACAUUUUGAGCGAAAUUGUAUACACAUAGAGUGUCUAUACUUAGUGAUACCUUGACCGAGCGUGGUAGAUCAUCUACACCGAGAAAUCAAGGAAGAUCAACGCUAUAACAUCUCUUUGUUCAUAGUGGAAUCCAGCCAAUUGGCUGUCAGUGCAGAAGAGUGGACGUAGGCUUGAAUCAAGCCGAACCACUAUAAACCGCGUGUUCAAUUCUCUCUUUCCCUUACUCAGUCUUACGUUGAUUAUUAUUUGUCACAAAUCCUUCAACUGUCUAAGUAUUGUGCAAUUAUCAAGAAAAAUCAUUUAUAUACCUAUUCACCCCUCUCUAGGUACUCGUACUAGCUAUAUCAAUUGGUAUCAGAGCUCGUGUUCUUACUUUAUUUGAAGUGUUUUACUUCAGAGUAAAAGAUCCAUGGCUAGUAUGCUAGCACCAGGGCUGGUGGAAGGGCAAAACAAUACCAGAUCACCCUACUUUGAUGGAAAGGAUUACAACAUCUGGAAGAACAAGAUGAAAGCUUUCCUACGAUCAAAAGAUCCUCUGGAAUGGGACGUUGUAGAAAAAUGAAUUACUCCUACAACUGCAUCAGUCUCUGAAAGAGGGAAAGAAAUUGUUGAGACUAGCGGAAUGACUCAGGAAGAGAUAAACAAGAGACAAGCACUCGAUGCAAAAGCAAUUUACUCUUUAUAUUGUGCUUUGUCACCAACUGAAUAUAACAGAAUAUCUUCUUGUGUUACAGCAAAAGAAGUAUGGGACAGAUUACAUAUCACCUAUGAAGGAAUAGAUCGAGUGAAGGAGACCAGAAUUAACAUUCUCCUCGGUCAAUAUGAAGCCUUCAAAAUGAAACCAGGAGAAUCUAUAACCGACAUGUUUAGUCGUUUUACAGAUAUUGUCAAUGGUCUUGAGAACCAAGGACAAAAAAUUUCUAAUCCCAUGAAGGUGAACAAGCUACUGCGUGGACUCUCCAAGGAUUGGAAUCAUAUAAAGACUUCAAUAAGAGAGACGCAAAGAAUUAUGCCACUAUCUGUCGACGAGCUGAUUGGAACUCUUCAGUCUUAUAAAGUGGAACGAAUUAAUGAAAACGAAGAUCCAAGAGGUAAAAAAUCCAUUACAUUAAAAUGAAAUGAUGAUUCUAAUGAUACAGAUUCUGGAGAAGAUCUGGACGAUGAGGAGCUUGCUCUCAUGAUAAGAAGAUUCAGAAAACUGAAUAGAAAAGGAAGAAGGUUCAACUCAAAGAAACAAAGUUUCCAAAGACAGCAGACCAAGUCUGUUGAUGAUGAGGAACCAAACAAAGAUGUAGUUUGCUUCGAAUGUAAGAAAAAGGGACACAUCAGACCCAACUGUCCUCUUCUGAAGAAGAAAAGAGGAAAAGCUGAAAAGUUUCGAAAAGCUCUCAAAGCCGAAACCUAGAGUGAUACAGAGUGUGAAGAAAGUGAUAAUGAAUAUGCCAACAUAUGUCUGAUGGCACAUUCAGACUCAGACUCAGAUUCUGGAUCAGACUCAGACAGUGAAUUUGAGGUCUCCGUCAAGAAAAAGGUAAAGUGGUAUCUUGACAGCGGAUGUUCAAGACACAUGACAGGAGACUCAAAUUGCUUCAUAAAGCUUGUUCAAGUAAAUGGUGGAAAAGUUUCAUUUGGAGGAAACGACAAAGGAAGUAUUGUGGGAUUUGGAAUUGUGAAAAUUGGAAAUCUCACAAUAAGCAAUGUUUCUCUAGUGGAAGGACUCAACUAUAACCUUCUCAGCAUUAGCCAAUUGUGUGAUACUGGUUUCAAGAUCUCCUUUCAAGAAGGAAUAUGCUCUAGAAUCAGUAAAGACUCUACUCAGUCUUUCAUAGGUCGAAGACAUGGAAAUAUCUACCUCUUAGACAUGAAACUAAAUGAAUCGCAAUACCUAAUCUCAAUUCAAGAUGAAGUAAGCUUAUGGCACAGAAAGCUUGGUCAUGUCAACAUGAAGCAAUUAGCCAAAAUCUCAUCAAAGCAGCUUGUUCGAGGUCUACCCAAAUUACCAUACCAAAAGUCCAAUCCAUGCACACCAUGUAUUCUGGGAAAGCAGGUAACAAAUUCAUUUAAGCCAAUAAAUCAUGUCUCUACUAAUCAUGUACUACAGUUGCUGCAUAUGGAUCUCUUCGGACCAACCAGAACCUAGAGUAUUGGAGGUAAGAAAUAUUGCCUAGUAAUUGUGGACGAUUACUCCCGCUUUACUUGGGUAUAUUUCCUUGCAAGUAAGUCAGAAACCUUCUCGUAUUUUGAAAAAUUUGCUAAAAAGGUUCAAAAUGAAAAAGGAUGUGUUAUCUCAAGUAUAAGAACAGAUCAUGGAGGUGAAUUUGAAAAUCAAGAUUUUACAAAAUUGUGUGAUGAAUAUGGAUUUAAGCAUGUGUUCUCCUUUCCAUAUACUCCUCAGCAAAAUGGAGUUGUGGAAAGAAAGAAUAGAUCUCUUCAAGAAAUGGCUAGAACUCUUUUAAUUGAAAGUAAAAUUUCUUCACGAUUUUGGGCUGAAGUUGUUUCAACAGCAUACUAUAUCAUCAAUAGAGUCUUCCUAAGACCUAUUCUAGAGAAAACCCCUUAUGAGUUAUUCAAAGGUAAGAAGCCCAUGGUUUCAUACUUUCAUAUGUUCGGUUGCAAAUGCUUUAUAUUGAAAAAUGCAAAAGAUCGAGUUGGUAAGUUUGAAGAAAGAUCAGAUGAAGGCAUCUUCCUUGGAUAUUCUACAUCAAGCAAAGCCUACAGAGUCUAUAACAAGAAGAGCCAGUCUGUGGAGGAGUCAAUGAAUGUCAAAUUCCAAGACUCUACGCAAGAUGAAUCCAGUCAGACUCAGUAUGAAGAGUCUGAACCUGCUUCAGACCUUCCAAAGCUUACAACUCAAGAAGUAUCUUAGACUCUGGAAGUCCAGCAUCAAGAUGUUCAUGAAGAUUCAAAUAAAGAAAGAGAUCAUCAUCCAGAAAAAUUAACCAGUAACUGGAAGCAUAAGUCCAAUCAUCCCAAAGAUCUCAUUAUCGGCGAAAUUAAUGAAGGAAUUCGCACCAAAUCCAAAAGACGUGAAGAGUCUAGUGCUGUGGCUCUCAUUUCUGAAAUUGAACCAAAAAACAUAGAAGAAGCUUUAUCUGAUGAAAGCUGGAUCGAAGCUAUGCAAGAAGAGCUCAGACAGUUCAACAUUAAUGAUGUCUGGGAAUUGACAUCUAAACCAAAAGGUAAAACUGUUAUUGGAGCCAAAUGGGUGUUCAAAAACAAGAUGAAUGAAAAAGGAAAAGUCGUACGAAAUAAAGCAAGACUCGUGGCCAAAGGAUAUACGCAAUAAGAAGGAAUAGACUAUGAUGAGACUUACGCUCCUGUAGCAAGGUUAGAAGCUAUUCGACUAUUACUUGCGUUUGCUUGUUAUAAAAAUUUCAGGUUAUUCCAAAUGGAUGUCAAAAGUGCCUUCCUAAAUGGAUUUAUCCAUGAGGAAGUUUAUGUGGAACAACCACCUGGGUUUGAAGACCCAAAGAAGCCAAACUCAGUCUUCAGACUGAAAAAGGCAUUGUAUGGUUUAAAGCAAGCACCUCGAGCUUGGUACGACAGACUAAGUAAGUUCUUAUUAUAUAAUGGUUUUGUCAAAGGUAAAGUAGAUAAUACUUUAUUUAUCAAAAAGGAAAACAAAAGCUUUUUACUUGUUCAAAUAUAUGUGGAUGAUAUUAUUUUUGGAUCCUCUAAUGAAAGUCUAUGCAAGAAAUUGUCUAAGUCUAUGCAGGAUGAGUUUGAAAUGAGUAUGAUGGGAGAAUUAACAUUCUUUCUUGGUCUUCAAGUAAAGCAAUUGAAGGAAGGAACUUUCAUUUACCAAGAAAAAUAUGCUAAUGAUCUUGUCAAAAGGUUUGGAUUGGAAAAUUGCAAAAAGACUGAUAUACCGAUGUCAAGCUCUUUGAAGAUAGACAAAGAUGAAGAAGGGAAGAAAGUUGAUCAAAAGCUGUACAGGAGCAUCAUUGGUUCACUUCUUUAUCUUACUGCUUCUAGACCUGACAUUUUGUUGAGUGUUUGCAUCUGUGCUAGGUUUCAAUCAGAUCCUAGAGAAUCCCAUCUCAGUGCUGCAAAACGUAUUAUUAAAUAUGUUGCUUCAUCUUCAAGCAUCGGUCUUUGGUAUCCUAAGAAGGGAGACUUUAAUCUUCUGGGAUAUUCAGACGCAGAUCUGGCCGGUUGCAGAGUCGAUAGAAAGAGUACUUCAGGAACUUGCCAGUUGCUUGGAAGCAGGACAGUGUCUUGGUUUUCAAGGAAACAAAGCACUGUGGCUCUCUCAACAACAGAAGCAGAGUAUGUAGCUCUUGGAAGCUGCUGUUCGCAAAUUCUAUGAAUAAAACAACAGUUACAAGACUUUGGGAUUGAAGACUCAUGCACAGAAAUCAGAUGUGACAACACCAGCGCAAUCAAUCUCACUAAAAAUCCAAUCCUUCAUUCAAGAGCAAAGCAUAUAGAGAUUCGACAUCACUUCAUUAGAGAUCAUAUUCAAAAUGAAGAAAUCUCGAUUCAAUUUGUUGAUUCAAAAAGUCAACUAGCAGAUAUAUUCACAAAGCCUUUGGAGAAAAAUCAAUUCGAUUUUAUCCGUUCCAGACUCAACAUUUUGAAGCUCGAGGAAGUUAAAGUCUAGAGACUCUCCAACCCUCACUCUAAACCGUCAGACUCAGACAUUCAUGGCUAUAGACUGUAAGUUGAUAUUAUAUCUAAACUCGAAAAGGUACGAUCUUUCGUUCAGUUAAUUUAUAAUUUCCGUGAAAAACGGAAUCCUGCCUUUUCAAAAGGAUUAACUUUGGCAGUUAAUGAUUUUAAAAAGAGGUGUUCGUACACUUUCCUUGUGCCGAUUGAACUUUCCUUUUCAAAACUGAGUUAUAUAUAUACAGUUUUCUUUUUCACCCAAUCUUCAAAACCCUAAAAGGCAUUCUCCUCCCAAUCCGGUUUCUACUUCGUGUUCAUCUUCGAGAAAGUUGUCAUCUUUUCUUGGGAAAGCAAGUAAAGGAAUCUUUCAACGACAAGGAAGGAUGUCUUCUUCGAGGAAGUCUUCAAGAAUCACGAACAGGGGACCACAGAGAAUGAGAAGGGACCUACCCAUUUCGAUCUCACCGAAGAGGAAGAAUUAUCGAGUCAGCAACAGAGCCCGAUUCACUCUCCACCACGUCACUCAACGCCAUCUACCCCACAAGGUGCGGGUCAACAACCAGAGGAAGAAAUAAUCGAGGACACAGACCCUGUAAGAGUCCAAAAACCCUCUUUUAUUUACAAGCUUUACUAUGCGUUGAAAAGCACUGGGACUCCGUUGAACUACGUGGAUGAUUUUCUUAAAGAUAAGAAUUAUGGGAAUGAGUAUAUCUUUCUGCGACGAAUGGAAGAUUUGGGAAUUGCUCCCAAGGGAAAGGCUGAGGAAGCACUUGCGAACAUUCCAAGUGACCCUCGUAUGUCAGGACCAAAUUCGACUGACGGGAACGAUGAUGAUAAAAUGUUUAGUGGUUUUCAACCUAGAAUGGGUGUUGCUGCGAAGGUGAAGGGAAAAAGAAUGGAGUUGUUUAAAUCGAAGGAACAGGAGAAUCUGUUCUUUAGACUGCUGAAACGAGGGGUGAUAAACCCUAGGAGUGUUGAUUUCGAUUUCUUGGAUGCCAUCAAUGUGAACUUAAGGGAGAAGUUCAAUAUGCUUCAACUUGAGCAAUUUUGCACCAUACCACAGACGGUUAUGCGCAAUUGACAGCAUAUUUCUAUUCGAAUCUCAGCUUUAUAGAUGUGAAUAGAAUAUCAUUCAGUGUUCGAGACCAGGACUAUGUGGUAAACGUGGACAUGUUGGCGGACAUAAUUGGAGUUGAACGAGGACGCUAUCAACCGAUCAAAGUCUCAAUUGCUCGUGCCUCAUUAGAACUUGUCAAAGAUAGAGAUACAGAGGGAAGAAUCAUCUAUUCAAGGAUGCGUGCCAUCAAUAUCGUGCUACACAAAAUUGUGAUCAAUUGCAUCAGGCCGAAGUCUACAUCCAAGACUGACGUCUCUAAUUCCGAAGCAAAAUUGAUGUACGCAAUCAACUCAGGGAAGAAGUUCUCUCUCCCUCACACCAUUCUCUUUCACAUGUACAGAGCAAUGUCGAAAGACAAGGGCCAAUUGCCUUACCCAGGUCUGGUGACCAAGAUCUUCAGACACAUGAAUAUUGAACCGCCACAUACACUUUGUGUUCGACCGUGCGAUAAGAUGGUGGUAGGUUUGAAGAUGUUGACGAAGAUACGUCUAAAAGAACUUUCCAAGGCAAUGGAGAAAUUCAGAGUGAAGACUCCAGUACCGUCUGCUUCAAAGAGAAAAGGGAAGGAGGCCAUUGGUGCCCCAUCCAAAAAGAAGAGAACUCUCAUCUUGGAGGAUGAAGAUGAGGAGGAAGAUCUCACAAUCUCUGCCUUGAUAAGGACCAGACGUUCUGUACCUCAAUCGACAGAACUUCAGAAGAAACAGAGAGAAGAAGAGGAGCAAGCCAAGAACAGAGAAGAAGAAGAGCAGCGAGAGAAGGAGAAAGAAGCUGAAGAAGAAGGAAAAGAAGAGAAAGAAAAGUCUGCAGCUGAAUUUACAGAAAAGGAGAAUCAAGAUACAGAAUAGCAUGAUCAUCACUCUUCCCCAUUUGAGGUCCUAGAGACAGGGGGAGUUGGCGAGCAAGAAAGGUCCACACCUCAUGCUGCCAAUAGUGAAGGUCUAAGACAAUCUCCAGCAGAUCCAGAAGAGUUUCAGGCUUCUCAAUUGCCUGAAGAAGAACACGAUACGUUAACACCAAAUCUGCAAGAUUAACAGAAGCUCCAUCAUCUGCAUUCACUCCAUCCGAGAAAGCAAAUGCAAGUACACAGACGGACAAUUCAGUAGAUUUUCGUCGUAUUCUUGAUAUUCUUCUGGAAAUGCGGGGCCAAAUCUAUGCUCUGGACUGUGAAAUUCAAGCCAUAAAGAAUGCUGGACAAGCAUCUUCGGUUACCCUAGAGGACAAAAUGAAAGACCUCGCUCUACAAUUUCAAGCCAAUGCCAAAGGAGAGGAGGUAGCUAAACUAAGGGAAGACUUGAAGAGGCUAGAAGGCAUAGUCCAGUCCAUGGGAGAUUUCCAGAUCAUGCGCAUUCCCAAGCAGACCUGACUCCUUUCUCACCUUUUUUAAUGCUGACAAAAAGGGGGAGAAGCAAUUUGAACCAAACCAAUUUGAACUUUAAACUUUGACUUUAAAUUUGUUUUUGUGGUUGAAUAUGUUUGUUUUUUUAGUAUGACUUGAGUGAACUUGAAUUUGACUGAAUUGGCUGUGGAUUUUGAUGCUAGAUGCUUAACUGUUUGCAUUUAUAUCAAGUGUUGUCAUAUGGUAUUACUCAUGAAAGACUAACCAAUUUUCUGUGAAUGCAGAGUCUGGUUGUUUUAUUAAUCUUUAUGAGAUAGCCAUAUUGCUUGAGAAAUGUUUUUGCAGGUCAAAGUUGUUCAAAUCUACAGGAAAGUUUUGUCACCACCAAAAAGGGGGAGAUUGUUGGAGAAAUCUUUCCAGAAUAUUUUGAAGCUGACAAAACGUUUCUAUCAGUCUAGUCUGGAUAUUUGCAGACCGUCUGUUUAAAGUCUGAAGACUUUCUGAUCACCAGACUCAGCACUCAAGACUCAAGACUUAAGACUCAAGACUAUUCUCAUUGACAGUCUUUCUGAUCCAGUGACGAAGGAAAUCCAGAGCUGAAGUAUAUGGUUGAGGAUUUAAUCCUAUCCUCUGGAGAAGAUCUCUUGGUUGGAUAAAUAUAACGGAUUCUUUUAUUCGUAUCUAGAUCGAUUGAAGAUCCGGUGGUCGACGAAAUAUUCUUGGAAGGUUCUAUUCUUGGAAACCAAGAUCCUGAUUGUAUGGGCGAACAGGAUUGAUGGGCUAUCGUCAGGUUCCUUUGAUAGCUCGAAUGAUCUUCUUAAUUGAUUCCGUCCAACGGGUAGAUUGGAGGAAUUCCUUUGGUAAGUGCCAACAGGUAUGAUGGCAUAAAGGAGUAUAAAAGGGAGACGUUCCAGUUGUUUUAGUGUGUGAUCGAUAGAGAAAUUCCAGAGUCUGAAGGACCUUGAUUAUUAGUCGAUACAUUUUGAGCGAAAUUGUAUACACAGAGAGUGUCUAUACUUAGUGAUACCUUGAGCGAGCGUGGUAGAUCAUCUACACCAAGAAAUCAAGGAAGAUCAACGCUAUAACAUCUCUUUGUUCAUAGUGGAAUCCAGCCAAUUGGCUGUCAGUGCAGAAGAGUGGACGUAGGCUUAAAUCAAGCCGAACCACUAUAAACCGCGUGUUCAAUUCUCUCUUUCCCUUACUCAGUCUUACGUUGAUUAUUAUUUGUCACAAAUCCUUCAACUGUCUAAGUAUUGUGUAAUUAUCAAGAAAAAUCAUUUAUAUACCUAUUCACCCCCCUCUAGGUACUCGUACUAGCUAUAUCAGGAGCAACAAGAGGAUGAACUUGAUUUUCUAAUCCCCAAAAUAGUCAAAUGAUUCUUGUCCGUCUUUCUAAGUUACAUUGAAAAGCUUCAUUAAAUGCAGGAGCAUUCUUCAGACCAGUUGAAAAGUGCACAUAGGGUUUCCUUCCAAUAAACCAAGUAUUGCAGUUUUUACUGAAAACGCAGAAAUGGUAAAAUUGCAUAACAUAGGGCUUCCUUUCGAUAAACCACGCAAUGCAGUUUUUUCAUGAAAACACAGAAAUUGUAGGAGUAACUUACCUUUUUUCUUUUGGUCAUAGACUUACCUUGUUUAAACGCUAAAUAAUCUAAACUGGCCAAUAAUAUUUUUCCUUAGCCCCUGCACUUUCAGAAUUAAGGGAAAAUUAAAUUACCUUAUGGCAUCUUAUUCUAUAAAAAUGGAUCAAGCGUUGAAUAGAUUCCAAGUUGAUUGUUAUUUUGAACAUUCAUCGAAAUUGUUUGGAUGGGUGAAUUAUUUGAAUUAUUUCUAAUAUAUCGCAUAUUGGCAUGUUGGAUUAUGAUAUAUAGAUAUUGGAUUAGUGCUCAUUGUCGAACUGCAUAUUGAUAUGUGAUAUAUGUUUACCGAUGAUUCUGAUUUGGGGCUUAAUCACAGCCGAUGUGAAUUAUGAGGCUUUAACCACAGCUGAUAUAGUAUUUGGGGCUUUUUUUUUAUUUUUUUUGUUCAUAUAUUUGGGGCUUGUUACAUGACGAAGCAUGGUUGAGAUUGGGCAUUAGGGCAUGCCAGGGACGACACCACUUGGGCAUUGUUGGUCUGCACCUAGUUUAAAAAAAAAAAAAUCGAUAAAAAAUAUAUUUUUUCAAAUAUUAAAAAUAAUGAGAGAUUAAUUGAGGAAAAUUAAUAAAAACACAUUAUGUUAAACCCAAUUAUGACACAUCUUCAAAUAAUUUGAAAAAAAAAUUACAUUUAGUGGUGCUCUAAUUAAUGGCUCCACUCAGACGUCCCUCACCAUGAUUCAAAUAAUAUAGUGUCAUUAUUGUUCUUGCGUCCAUGUUGGGUACAUUCCUCCGGAGUUAAUUCUCGUAAAAACUAAUUACCCCCUACAAUAACCACUUCUAAAUUGUACACAAACAAGUUGGAUCUAUUUGACUUCCAAGAGUAGGCUUGUAACGAACAUAGAUUUUGAAGGUGCCAUGUACGCAGGUGGAAUGAGGGAGUCACAAGCCAUAAUAGAAAUAAUCGGAAAAGUGGUAGCUCACCUCUUCCACCAUUUCAGGUCCUCGAGGUUAUUUUCGCCAAUUCUAUCAAUAAGCUUGGAGUAGUCUACUCCCAAGUACUACUCCAACUCAUUGGUACUACUCCCAAGUACUACUCCAACUCAUUGGUAAACAAUGAAGACGAAGACUUAGCGGGCAAUGUAAUGUUUUCCUACUUAUAUAACAAAGACCAUAUAGGUUUGUGGGCACUGCUUAAAGAGGCCGCGUUGUUUGUCUGUGAGAUAGAACUUGUCGUGUAAUAUCAACCAACAUAUGCCACUUACAUAUUUGAGAGCCAUCUCAUUGUUAUCGCCAAUUUGUGUUCCACUUGGAACCCCUAACUAAGUCCCAAAUGUUUGUAAUAUGAAACAAGAGUAGUUUCAAGCUCCCCAACUUGAACCUUGGAUCCAAGAUAGUGGCUACCAAAAAAAGUGGGAUGUUUUUGUAAUAUUUAAGGAAUUUCACCUUUAUGGCCACUACCAUUUUGUUGAAAAAGGGAUCAUCCUUCUUGUUCGCCAAUUCAAUUGACAUUAGACAUAGAGUUGGAAGGACUCGAUUGCUUGACCGCUAAUCCAAAUCUUCGGAUUUGAGUCUUCAAUAGAUUCUCAGUUUUUCAUGUGGUUUGCAAGUUCAUUCUUGCAUUCCAAGGUCCAAGAGGAGUAUCAAUGGAACUAAUCCAUUUUUGUGUAAAUAAGAGCUUGAAAAAUCGGAAUGUGAUUGUUUCAAGCAUGAUUUCUGCUAUUAGUCAAAUCUUACGCAUAAAAAACUUGUCAAAGAUUUGUAAACGGCAAUUAAAUCCCCUAAGAAAAUCACUAAAUCUGGGCAGAAUAAGAAAGCUUCUUGAGGAAGUAAGCAUUAUACCUAGCACAAGAACAUAGGCACCUAAAUGGAAGAUGAAAAUCCCAAAACUAACCAGAUAAAUCUACAAAUCUAUACAAAGCUACGACACACCAUUUUGAUUUGAACAAAUUCCUCCAUACUCUUGGCAACUCAAAGCCACCUAAGGAUUGGCAAGGAUCGGCAAGGAUCAAUCUAAUGAUCAACGACGACCAGAUUUGAAAGGAAAAUAGACCUGAUCUCGUCUAAUUGAUUGUGAUUUUUUUUUUGGUAUCGGUCAUUUUUCUUACUAAAAGUAAUCUCCUAGUAACAUAUCAUCUUAUAACUUUUUUAACACAACGUAAUUUCCUUCAUGUGGUCGUAAGCUCUGUAGGUCCUAUAGUUUCUAAUAUUCCAUUAAAAAUUGUAAUAUACCUUAUAGUAAAUUUCUUUUCUUAUCGUUAGUAAUUUAUCGAAUGGAUACCAACUUUCGUUCAGUGUACAUAAUCAUCCUCACUAUUAGUAAUAUAUCGGCAAAAUAUCCUUCUGUAAUUUUUCUUAUGGAGGAUGUAAUUUUUGUUUGGAGGGCAUAAAUUUUUGGCGUCUGUGCCUUGUAAUAUUUCAUAAAAGCAGUAAUUUAUUUGGUUAAUGGUAAAUUUCUUUUUUGCAUGUUUAAUGAAAUAUCUGGAUUUAGUAACUUUCCUUGCAUUUUGUAAUGUUUUGAGACUUACAUAUUGGUAACUUUCCUUACUUAUAUAUUGGUAAUUUUCCUUACUCAUCUUAAUUUUUUUUAAUCAAAUGAAAGUUUGAUCACUUUUGCAUUCGUAACUUUUCUUUAACGCUUGCAAAUUCAAAUUAUGACUAGAAGUCAACUUUGCAAAACAGAUUUGACGUACCAAUUUUUUCCCCUUCUUAUCUAGUGGUCCACGUUGAAUGCGGGUCCGGUCUCAUAAAAGGAGAGCUUUGACUUACGGAAUUUCCAUUGUGAUCACGAUGUUUCGGCCAUAGCAGAAUAAUAAUUUUCUUUUUCGCCAAAUAGUAAAGUAGUGUUGGAAACUUAUUUUUCAAAAUUAUUUGAAGUUUGUUCUUUCGAAAUAUAUAUAAAGGUAAAAGGUAAAAAUGUAAAUUAAGAUAAGUAUUACUUUAUCAAAUUUUCUUUUUGUCUGUUGCUGAUACACAGCAACAGACAAAAAAGAAAAUUUGAGAUAACUUCUCAUGGCCUUAUGUAGGCAAAGAAGCCUUUUCCCAUAUUCCUAUCUGCCAAGUUCGAGAAUGAUUCUAGCACAAUAAAAGAUUAACGUAAAAAGAGCCAUAGCUCUUUUGAGGGGGGCAAAAAUAGAAUUUCAGCGAACUUCAGGCGCGAAACGGAAUCGGCUUCAAUCUCUCCCAGUCUCCCAUUCUCCAGCAGUCCCGCCAUAGUUGGCAAGGUUUUUUGAACAAGAGCGAUUCGGGCGCGCGCGCGCUCUCGAGAAGGUUGAAAUUCCACUCCUAACUCGUGCAUCAUCGAUCGAUCGAAUCGCUCCAAACAGGUUGAGAUUCCAUGGAGGAUCGGGGCUUGGAGGAGGUGGAGAAAGCUCGGUUGCUGUGCUUGGCUCUCGAGUUUGGCUUCGACGAGCAGUCCGCCAGCUAGUGCUUGGGACCGUCUCGUUUCCCUCUGCGGUACCUCGAAUCAUCAUUACCCCGUCGCCCAUUUUUUAUGCUGAUGUGCAGAGGUUGCGCUGGUCCUUCUCGUAGUCUGCUUUAGAUUUGAAUAGAUCGGAGCUGGUUCAGCGAAGUAGUCCUGCUGACGAGUGAAAUGUCUGGUGCUGUUCCAGCUUGAUGUGUUUAGGUUGCUUUGGAUGGUGGCUUUUCUUGGUUACUAGCCGAAUUGCGUGGUAUCUGGUCAUUAGGUAAUGACGUAAUUGAUUGUGUUGCGGGAAUGAUUUGUGAACUGAUCGAUCGUGCAUUCCUAAAUAAAGAGAUUUAUUGCGGUUAGGUCGUCAUUUUGACGAUGGCCAUGGAAUAUUCUACGUUUUGGAUUUGAAGGGACUGGAGCUGGUUAUUCUUGUCCUUAGUUCUCUGUGGGUUUUGUGGAGUAGUCUUCUUGACUAGCGAAAUGUCUAAUUUACAUUUGAACUAACUGCAAAUCACGCAUUGUGUAGGUUGUCUUUAUUUGAGUUUCUUUUUUUUUUUUUUUUUGGUCAUGGAACUUGCAAAAUCAUCUCUCUCUUCUUUUGGUUUUCUUAAGGCAACGAAGAUUGAGAGUUUAUCACUGUGGAGCACUGUGGUGAUGAUAUUCUAGCAGAACUUGCCGAAACUAGGCAAGACACUGAGGAUUGGGAUGAUUUGCAAGAUGUGGAAUCAGACUUUUUGUGGAGUUUUGACUGAUGUGCUUGGCCAAGAUACGCCUAAUGAUGGGUGACGGCUGAUGCAAUGUUGUGCACGAUAUUAAUACUGUAGAAGAUUCUCCAAAACCUGAGAAAAAUCAAACAUUACUUGAGGUGGAUUCCUCUACUGAAAGUGAAGACGAAGAUGAUAUAUUUGGCAAUACUCCGAGCAAUUCGUCCACUCAACUUCUGGCCAGACGAUCUUUAGAUUCCAUGGUAUGCUUCUUAAAACUGUGAAGUUGUCUCACUCCUUUCUACCAUAACCACUCCUUUCUGCCCUAACCGGUUUGAAGGGAUUAAGAAAAAGAAAGAAAGCAUGGUGUCUUGGCAUGUUUUUUCACAUGCCCCAAACUAAUUUGGUUGAUAGUUGUUAAGUUUGUGGCUUAAGUUUUUGGUUCAUGGACCAAGAUUUGAUCGAGAGAUUACAAUGUCCUUCUCAGAAAAGUCUUGGGAAACGUUUUCCACUUGUCUCAUUCGUUUUUGGCUGACUCUUGCAAUUGGGGUUUUGGUUAGUGAGAAAUUGAUUUAUUUCUUAUUGUAAUUCUCUCUUAAUCACUGUUGCACAACUCAUCCAAUGUGUCACUGUUCUUUCCUCUUCAACUUUUAUCUUUCCUUGAUCAUUUCCAGUUUGCUUGCAAUUCUGCUCAGCAACAAACCUUACAUGGUGUACCUGUACAAAAGCAUUUAGUAAAUUGUUCAUGAGGGCUCUCAUCUGAUCAAAUGUAUAAUAGAUGCUUCUAACUUACCAGUUACUUCCACAGUCUAUAAGAUCUAAAAUGACUUAUAUGAGAACUGUUUGGUCAAUAAAAAUAGUUCAUUCUUGUUUUGGAUAUGUAACGAUACCUAUAUUUCUCAAGUACUUUGAGAGUAUGGUACACCAUCCAAGUGUUGAACUUAGCAUCCAGCGUCUUUGAUAGGUGUGUUUUGCAAAAUGAAGGCUUGGGAUUUCUUUGUGCACAAUUUUCAUUUUCCAUCACCACGUGUCAGAAACUAUUUAUGGUGCUGAAGAGGCUUAAUUGUGUUGAAGCACUGUAAGAGCACUGUCACUCAUGGUUCGAUAUCAUUAGUUUCAAAUAAAAGACAUCACUCUCGGAUUUCGACAUGCAAACAAGGAACUCUGAGUUAUGAGGAAUUGCAAGCCUUGGAUGACAUAGAAUUGGCAAGUGUUGUAAUAUUCGGAAACAAGACAUUUCGACCUAUGCAGCAUCAGGCUUGCAAAGCUUCUGUAGCCGAGCAAGAUUGCUUCAUUCUCACGCCCAGUGGAGGUGGUAAAAGUUUACGUUACCAGGUUAGUGAAUGUUAACAUUAUUUCAUUUGUGUAAUGAUCGAAUGUAGAAGUAUGUGUGGAGACAAUGUUUAGAGCACAAGCCCUGUGCACUUUGGUGAAUGGUUCCACCAAUUAUAUACUAGACGGGUAGACCUAUAUAUCGAAAUUUAAGCUAUAAAAUGAUCUUGCAAUCUGCUUUGUUAGGACUGUUGAGAAGUUUAUACUGAAAUACAGGACAUUCUCGUUCUGCCUUCACCCAUCUCUGUCCAUUCUGUAAUUUCUAGAAUUUGAGGUUUGUGCUCUGCUUCUAGGAACUUCUUAUUACUUCCUGGAAAAUUUAUCUUGUUUUUGCAUGUAAGUGUUGUCGUCAGUCAUGUUUCAGGUCCAGUUCAAUAGGGUUAUUAAGUCAAAGAGGAAUAAGUUUUCAAAUUACUUGCACCAAAUACAGAUUGUAGAUGUAUAUAUUUCCUAUGUAGGUACGUGCUAUGUCAUCAUCUCAACUAAAGGUGAUCAUUUCCAUAAUUGGUUUGAAAUGGAUGUCCUUUCAUAUAAGAUGGAUCUUGGAAGCAUGCAAAAUAUCGGGUCCACUGAAUCACGAAGGAAGAUAUUAACCUGAAUUUAUUAAGUUGAAUUAUCCUGAAAUGUUUUCUGUUCAGUCUUGAAGUAGUUCAUAUAUGUUUCUAGCUGAAGUAAAAUUAUAAGACAAAUAGUGAUGACUAGUGCUUUCUGAUCAGCUGAAGGUGAACAAAAGAGUUAUUCCCCCAUCCCUUCAUUUGCUCUUCUGGUGUUUUUACCCUUCAUUUCAGCUGCCAGCAACUCUUAAACUAGGUGUCACAGUUGUUAUAUCUCCCUUGCUAUCUCUCAUGCAGGAUCAAAUAAUUACUCGAACCCUCAAGUACGGAAUACCAUCAACUUUCUUGAACUCUCAGCAAACCACUGCCCAGGUAGCAGCUGUCCUCCAAGAACUAAGGCAAGGUUUAGCUCUCUCUCUCUCUCUCUCUCUCUCUCUCUCUCUCUCUCUCUCUCUAUUCCUACUGAAGUAUAUCCUACCAUACAAUCUUUAUCCCGCCAUAAAAUUUUUGGCUCCAUAUGUUGCAAAGGAUGUACAUUUUUAUGUAGUUAUUGAAAAGAUGCAUGCCUAAGAUGUUUCCCUUGAAAAAAAUUUAGCAUCUUAGCCUUCUGAGAGAAGUAUAUCAUACCAUACAAUCUUUGUCCUGCCAUAAAAUGUUGGGCUAUGAUCCAUAUGUUGCAACGGGAUUUCCAUCGGACUUCUAAAACUUUUUUUUUUUUUGGCUGAGUGUUGGGAUUGUCAAGUCGUUAAUCUUCACUGCUUUACCUGCCUUUUCAGGAAAGAUAAACCAUCGCGCAAGCUGUUGUAUGUAACUCCUGAAAUGAUUGUGGGAAACUCAUCAUUUCUUGAGAUAUUGAAAGGCUUGCAUAGAAAGGGACUAUUUCUGAUACAUUGUAACUUUUUCUGAAAGUUUCUUUUGAACUUUUUGAUAUGUGGCCAUCAUGCAUUGCAGGCACAACCAACUGGUUUUGUUGUUGAUGAGGCACAUGGUGUGAGGUAUGCUCUUUGGCAUCCUUGUAUCUGAAGCAAAGAUCAUGCUAGAGUUACAUUAAAAGGAAUAAGUAUUUAUGAUGUUCCCAUGGCAAAAGUACUAUCCUCAUUCGAGAUAGAGAAAAGCAAGUUAACUUUUAUAUAUGCCGACUCAAACUCUUUUUUUUGAACAUUUUUACAUCUUCUGUGUUUCUGGCCUAAUUACAUUGUUGAUGUCACGCUGAACCUUCUGAAACCCCUAAAACCCAGACCUUCUGUGGAGUUCUAGUGUUACAGAAUGCAAUAUUGAAAUAACUAAUUAUGGAAAUGGUCUAGUUCCUUCUUUUGCAAAAAAUCAGUGGCGCAUAAUUUAUCAUAGUAAUCACAAUGCAGACAACUAAAUUUAGCUCCACGGAAAUUACUUUCAGAAGUAAUUGAAAGUGUCCAUGUUUGGCACAAUAGUUAGGUCUUUUACGCUGGUUCUUGUGUCCCUACUUAUUCUUUUAACUUUUAUACCAUGUAUUAACAACUUGAGAUAUAAGGCAAAAGUUCACACAUGUGAUCAUUGAUCGUGUUUCUUAUAAGGUCUUUAUUGGACUUGCUCUGCCAGUGCGAUUUUAUGAAAGGAACGUAUUGCUGUUUUGAGCUUUUCUCGAAUAUUUGAAUGAUUGUAAACAAGUAAAGUUUAUUGAUCAUUACCUUCUUGAUUGUCAUUAUUGCAGUCAAGGGUGAUUUUCGUCCAGAUUAUAGGGGACUAGGAUGUCUCAAGCAAAACUUUCCAUAAGUCCCAGUGAUGGCCUUAACUGCAACUGCCACUCAGCCAGUUCGUGAGGUACGAAACUUGCACAUUAUCCUCCAAAUUAUGUUGAAGAAAUCAUUUGGGUCUGAUCGAAAUGUACAUCCAUUGCAGGAUAUCCUAAAAGCUCUCAGGAUCCCCCAUGAUCUUGUUCUCUAGACAAGCUUUGACAGACCAAACCUAAAAUAUGAGGUGAUAUUUAAGACCAUGGAACCACUGAAGCAGCUUGAAGAGCUGCUAAAGAAACAUUUUGCUAAUUUGUGUGGCAUAGUGGAUCGCCUCUCAAAGAGUGAAAGCGUCGAUAUUGCAAAAUACUUUAAUGAUAAGUGCGGUAUAAAGACAAUGUACCAUCAUGCUGGAUUAGCGGCCCAUCAAAGAGUAGCUGUUCGAAAGAAAUAGCAUACUGUAGAGGUCCAGGUUGUACGUGCAACCAUUGCUUUUGGAAUGGGAAUAGACAAACCUGAUGUUGUAAGUUGAAAUGGACUCUAAGCCUUUGCCUAUUUUUAGUUUUAGAGUCGAGCUGACAUGCUGGCAAAUACUCAACUAAUUUACAUUUUUUUUUUUUUUUAUGUUUUAGUUUCACUGAUUGGUUUAUUAGUAUGCUUGGAAGUAAACUUUUCUGGUUCCAUGGUCCAGUGGCCUGGUAAAUUGUCAUUCUUGGCUAUUGAUUGCAACUAGCGAAUUAUGUGUUUUUUAUCAAGUCAGAUUCUUUCUUCCAUGCAUGGCACUUCGUUGUGCUAAAAUUAAGUUCAACUAGGAUAAAGUUCUUUUCUUUACUGUAAAAGUGGCAAAUGAAUCUGAUCUAAUUUGUCCUGUUAUAAUUUUUUUAUCAUAUGUCAACUUUGAUGGGUCAGUAAGUAUAUAUAUAUUAUGGCGUGUGGUCAGCGUUUUGUGAUCCACAACGCAAUGUCCAAGUCAAUCGAAAGCUAUUACCAAGAAUCAGGGACUGCAGCAAGAGAUAAUCCACCAGCAGUGUCCAUUGCUCUAUAUGCCGAAAAGGAUUUCAGCCAGGUUGUGUGCAUGUUAAGGGGUGAUCAAGGAUGUAAAACCGAAAUCUUUAAAAGUGCAAUGGCUCAAGCUAGGAAAUGCAGCAAUAUUGUGAAUUCAAGGUAAUCCAAUUUGUGUUCUCAACUUCAAUCUGAUGAUCCCACCUAAAUGAUGCUUCUUUUUUGCGUUUACACUCUCCACUUUGUUCUAUUAAUUGUUGUUAGUGUUCAUCUGGCAUUAUUCCGUCUGGAUGCUGGAUCAUUAGAUGGGUCUGUUGGCAACAUAUUCACAUAAUAAUGGACCCUUUGGGCUAAACUCAUACCGCACACCUAAAUGGAGCAAAGUCUAAUGAUGAACGGGUGUUUUCUCUCUAAUUUGUGAAUUUUUAGGAUGAGUGUCAGCGGCAAACCUUAUUUGCGUGCUUGGCGAGUCUUUGAAUCAAAAAGACUGUAAAUAUGGUUCUAAUCCUUGCGACAAUUGUCUCAAAGCCUCUUCAUAAAGGUAAAACUUUCAGGUAUCAACUCUCUUGAGGGCGAAAGUAGGUACCGACAUACGCAUGAUUUUGAGCCGCACAGUUCUUCUAGUUCCAUCAUCCAUUAUUAUUGAAAGACCACAUGGUAAUGGAGGGGCAAAGGUCCUUAACUAUGGACACAGAAUUCUUCAGUUGUGAUGGUCUUGUCAUCUCAUGUUUGUCUUUUCUUUCAUCUGUUGACAUGUUCCUUGUCUAGAACUAAUUAUUUUCAUGAGGGGAACAAAUGUGGGUCUAUGGGAACACGCCCUCCGGUCUUGACUGCAGAAGAAAAAGUUUCUUCUUUCAGUUCAGCAAAAAUUAACAAUGAAAGCAAAUUAUUCAAGCGCAUGUUGCAAUUCUUCUUUCCCGUUAUGAAUUAGUGAUGAAUGCAUAUCAUGACUGCGUCUAAAGUUAGUUUACUUGCAGAUUCAAUUUUUCAAGUGGUAUAUCUUAAGAUACAAUCGAUCGGUUGAAAACCUUUAUUAGGGUACGAUCAUCAGUUAAUCCAACUAUUGAACACUGUCAGUUUUCUGGCCAGCAAGCAUUGCAUCGGUGGACUGGAUUAUUCAAGUUAUUAGUGGACUGGCAUCUUAGAUCCCCAUUAUGCAAUAGUUUUUCAGAGGGCACAUGGCAAUGCAUCUAUAAUUCGAUACCAAGGGAUUUAACAUGGUUUUAUUAUUCCUAGGUCAGGGACAACGUUAGAUUCAUUUUGACUUGGACGUGCCAACUGCCCAAUAAUGCUCUCACGGGGCACUUAUCAGUUGUUUCUUUGUUGCAUUUGCGUAACAACUCACGGUGAUGAUUGCAUAUGUGUGUGGGUGUGUGUGUGAAUUGCAGCAAACGCUUUGCACUCAGAAGAGUAGUUGGAAUCCGCACGAUUUUGAUGACGGCACAGCAUCGCACAAGACGAGGGAAAUUGACAGUAUUGGCCCAGAAUAAGAUAAUUCAUUUAUUGCCUUCGGAAGUGAGGACAAAAUUGUUCCUCUGAAUGUUAGUGCGUGCAUGAGUCAUUUGAAAAGGAUUGUUUUGGAAAUAUAUUGGACUGGGCGGAUUCUCUUCGGCCUAGGAAAAGAAGAAGAAAAUUUGGGGUAUACCCAUCGUCCUCUGAAGACCACAGAGGAGAGCCCGUGCCGUAGUAAAUCUUCACGUGAGGGCAAAUAAGUUUUGGAAGCUUGUAAGGGGGUAGUAACUGCAGCUCAGAUUGCACGGGAUUUUAGAGGAAGAACGGCUGUUACAUGGAUUGAAAUAGAUAAAUGAGAAAUAAACAAAUAAUCCUAUAGAUUCCUGAUAUCAAUCGACAGAAAUCUCUUAUUUUAUAGAAGUGGCAACUAGUUAAUUAAAUGAGAAAUAAACAAAUAAUCCUAUAGGUUCCUGAUAUCAAUCGACAGAAGUCUCCUAUUUUAUAGAAGUGGCAACUAGUUAAUUAUGAUCGAGCUUGGUUGGCUCUAUGAUCACAUAAGUAUCAAAAUUACAAGUUUGAGUUGUGUUGUAACCGAAAGCAAUUGAUUUGUGCCCUUUGGUCCUAUUAAAUAAUGAAUUACUGACAUAUUGUUUAGUUGCAAUGAUGGGUUUGCCAUCGUCGAAACUUACAUUAUAGGCGAUACUUAAUGAUCAUGACUUAAAUGAAACAUUCUGUAAUGAAUAGGAAAAUUUUAUGGUUACAAUCAGGGAUAAACGAUGCGAAUUGACUGUCUCAACCCUUUAAUAUUUAUCAAAGGAUUGGAAGGUGAUUAUCCUUGUUCAGGAAUUUGAGAUGGUCCCCUUAUCGUUUUAAAGAGGAUCCUAGUGGCUAUAACACCGGCUAGUUUUUUGGUUAUGACUCUGAGUUGUGACGAUGCCAGAUGCUUCUAUGAGGUACAUGCGCAUGAUUGUACAUCAUAAGAGAUAUCAAAUUGGAUAAAGUGAUUUAAGUCUCCCAAAAGAAAAAGAAAAAGACAAGUUAAUGGUGACUUUGAUGUGACAAGAAACACUAGUUCUAAUCAGACUACCUGUCGUGAGGUAUUCCUCAUUUGUAUAUUUUCCUUGGCUUGUAUUAUAUCUAUUUAAGCAUUGUUUAUCCCAAAUUUUAUAGUUGUACUCAAAUAGUCAUUUUGUAGACUAUGUAUAGCCAUUGCAUGUAUGGAAAUUUCCAAGAACCUUCAAAAUUGGAACCUCUAAAAGGUUGGAUUAUUGACUAUCGAGAAAAGUUCGUACGGUGAUUCCAUUUCAAAAGUGGGACUGCAAUGAAGUCAUUUGGAAUGUGCAUGCAACAUUCAGAAAAAGGGAACAUGGUCUUAGCAGAUAAGCUACCUAACAUGGUCUUAAUAGAUAAGCUACCUAACGAUCCUACGUCAGUUUCGAUUAAAUGUUGAGUAUCACAUUGUCUUGUUCUACCAAGACCGAAAUUGUCUUUGUUUUUGGUCAAUGGAGGGGGUCUACGUUUCAUGCAUGUCAAGUGGCAGUGUUUGUAUGACCGAAAAAAAAGUGGCAGUAUUUGACCCUCAACCCAAGACUAUUAUGUAACAUCGUGUAAGAGGUAAAAUAGGUAAAGAAAAUGAAAAAAAGGAAACACGUGAAUUAUGCUUGAUGUCUUUGAGUACUGUUGUAAUUCAUUUUUUUGGAGACGCGCACUAAAGCCAAACGAUUUGUCUUUUUUGUCUUUUCCCUUUCUUUCCCAGCAAGAGAAAAGAUUGUUUAAGAGAAUUGACGUUAAUAAUCUAUAAACUUUGAUUCAACAUGUGAUAAUAAUUUAUUCAAUGUGAUCUUUAAAUUAUUCUUUAGACUUGUCAAAAGAAUCGUAGACUUAUUUCUUAAUCCAUAUUUGAUGUGAUGAGCUAUUAUAUAAAUUGGCUAUAUUCCAAAAAAUUGGUCAUAAAUGGUUUUAGGGUGGUAAAAACUAAAAUAAUAUGCAUAAAUAGACUCAUGCUUACUUGAAUUCAUUUCACCUCUAUGACUCUCUUUUUCCUCUCUCGCUCUCAUUAAAUCUUAUGCUCACUUUAUGCUCUCAUCUCAGUUUAAGCAUGAAUUUUCCUAAAUUAGGUUAAAUAUGAAAGUGUUCUAGUCAUAUGGUUAGAUUUGGUAUUAAUUGGUUUAAUUACAAAUCAUUAAAUUUGUAUUGCAUUGAAAUGUGUCAAAAUGAGUUAAAUUGAUCAAUUUGAGUCGAACUAUUUUCGACUUAAUCCACCCAUUUGAUGAGUUUACUUUCCUAAGGAAGAAAGUCAUCACAUUUCCCUAAUUUAUUGAUAGUUGGACUUUACUAUCUUAUCGCCGAGGGAACGAGGUUGAAUCUCCGAAUACUCACAACUUAAGUGGAGGUCCCAAGGGUGGUUUAUUGGGCCAGCCUCCCAAGGGUUUACGUCUAAAUAGUGGCUUGCGGCGAGACCCCACCGAUGUUAUCAAGUAUCGAAGGGUCAUGUGAUCCCCGAAGAGUGAUCACCGGCAGUCUCUUGGUCAUCAAAAGAAAAUAGCCAUCAGAUUUCCCUAAUUUAUUGCCAAAUGUGCAAUCUAGUCACUUAAUUUGCUUUUGUUAUUCUAUUGAAUUGAAAUGUAUCUUCUAGAAAUUUUGUUCACGACAAGGUGAGUAAGUUAUAAGACUCAAUUUUUUUGUUUAAGUUGGAAUACCAUUUUGUGUAACUCGUUCUAUAAAACAUUAUUAGUUACAAAAUGAUAUGCCAACAAAUUUUUUAGCCCAAAAGAACAUACUCUCUCCUAAAUUGCAACCUACCAAGUAUGCAAAGUAAAAAUAAUAACCGAAAAAUUAAUCCCAUUAGAUUUGGGAAGCAGGAACCUUUCCCCUUACCCUUUCUGACAGGACAACAAAAAGACACCAACCAGCAAAAAAGGAAAUAGCAACUUUUUCUCCAAUUUAAACUGGCUUAACUCACAAGACUGACACGUGGCGGUCGGACACGGCACCCUGACUCUCUGAAAAAAACAAAUAGAGAAAAUAAAAAAAUAAAAACAAAAAUCCUUUUUUAAUAACUAGAUCGCUGUCUCUUCCUCCUCAGAUUUUAAUGCUCAAAAACCAGUCAGUCUCUCUCUCUCUCUCUCUCUCUUCUUCCUUCUUCCUUUGGACACAAAUUCCAUUUUACUUUUCAUUUUUUUUCCACCAUUUUUAAACUCUCGAACUCCUCGCAUUCUCUCUCCUUUCCUCCUCUUCUUCCUCCUCCUCAUCUUCUUCGUCUCGCCAGAUCUCUCUCUGUAAUUGGGGUCAAGUCCGCCGGGCAAUCCCGGCGUUUGCCCGUUCGCCGGCCAUCUCGCCGGCAAUGCCGGCUCAGAUCUACUGUCGUUAGCUUGAUGCGCGACUCCGUGUGCUCUUUCUAAUCCUCACACCAACAUUCGGCGGACGGUAAGUGUGAAUCUUGGGUUCGCGCGAAAAAUUUGUGAUUUUGUUGGUGUGCGCUACUGUUCUGUUUAUGUGUGAAUCUCCACUUCAGUUUAGAGUCUGGACUUAGCAGGGCGAGGUAGUGAGGUCGUGUUCUACAAGCAAAGGGGGGUUCAGGAUUUUGGGAAAUGCUGUGUAAAUGAAUCGUGUUUCAUUUGAGUUAUGUGGGAAUGCUUGGUGUUGGUUCGGAUAAUGCACCGAAAGUGGUUGUUGGGUCGAUUCUUGGCAAACGUGGAAUUAGAAUUACCCGAGCUGUGAGUCCUGAAAUGCUUGCGGAUAGGGAUGGAGGGUUAUUGAAAUUUGGAUAAUAUGAACUGGGUCUCCAUUUUUUCCUGGAAAUCAUCCAGGCUCAGUACUUUAUUUGGGAGCAAUGACUGAGUUCCAAUACAGGUGGAACAAAAGCAAACAAUAAUGUAUUGUCCUCAUAAAACGAGAGCAUGUCUAUCCAGAAAUCAUGAACUCUCUAUGUGCUUAUGUUUCCAACAUAAAUUGAAAGCAAACAGAUGAUUCGGUUUCUUUCCGAGAGAAGAAAGAUGCACGGCAUCAAAACGGCACAUUUAUUAACCCCAUCAAAUCUGCUUUCUACUUGAUGUACUGCGACAUCCACUUGAACCCUUCGCCGUAGCCCACCUUGCGCACGACGCUGCACACAAACACCUCGAGGGGCCUGACAGUCUGAUCUGUAAGAUUCACUUUCCCUUUGCCAGUCGUCAAGCCGGUGAGCCC
rnacentral:lncRNA from 1 species